rnacentral:lncRNA from 1 species
GGGUUGGACCUUAGGGAACAGAUGCUCUUUAUGUAAAAAUGAGGAAGAAUCAGCAGAUCAUCUUUUGCUUCAUUGCACUAAGACAGGAAUCUUGUGAUAGCUAAUCUUCUCUUUGUUUGGGAUAGAAUGGUUGAUGCUAGAUUCAAUUAAAGGGGCCCUCUUACCUUGGCAGUGGAAUAUUGUGGGGAAGAGAAGAAAAAAGCUUGGAAGGUUGUCCCUUUAUGUAUUUUUUUGGACCAUUUGGAGGGAGAGAACAGGAGGUACUUUGAGGACAUGGAAAAAUCGGAUCAAGCAUUAUAAUCCUCCUUCUUUUGCUUACUUUUGGAUUGGGUGAGGGUGGGCUUAAAUGAUGCGACUAUGUCUAUGGUAGGCCUAGUCGAUUGGCUCGGUGUUAUGUAAGGGAUGGGGCUAUUGAUCUUGCCCAUCUCUUCUAUUCUUUUUGUUCUUGACUUGGUGCCCUUGUAUACAUCCCGUCUACUUUGGUGCGUUUUUUGAUAGGCGCUGUUAAUAUAUUUUUUUGCUUGCUUAUAAAAAACCAGAACUCUUGGCCACUAGGCCCGCUACUAAUUUAUUGUUGUUGGAAAAAUACAACAUGGUAUGGGUUUUAUAGUUUUGGGCCCUUCUAGUAGCAACAAAUUCAGGAAUUAACAACUGAAGAUGGUUUACAAAGAUCUAUUUAUGGAUUGCAUGAAUGCCUGGAUAAAAAGGCCAUUCCAUUCUUUUAGGUGCUCAAAAACGAACAUUUCAUAAGUUAGAAUUGAGUUCUGGCGGCACAUGUUACUACUGCUACCAUUGGUCGUUGUUGCCAGUAUGAGUUAAAUGGUGUAAACAAGCACUGAAAAAACAUUAUUAAACGUGUGUUGUAUUAAAGAAAAGGUGUACACGAUGUAUACAUAUAUGCAUGGGAUAUGAUAUUAGUGCUGUUUGUUUAAUCCUUUUCUUAUGUUAAUUCAUUAGUGCGGUAUCAGAUCGUCUUUUUUUCUAUGCUCAUUACUAACUUUCAGUUCUCUCCCUUUUAUUCUUUUCUUCUUAAACCCAAUGGACAUUGAUGUUUUUCUUUGUUAUAGUUGGAUUGAUAGUUUCAGAAAUUUUGUGCUAGGCUGAGAUUGGUUCCAUAAGUUCAGACAUAAAAAUUCUCCAGGAGAAGUCUAUGGAUAUGGGUCUGAAGCUGAAGAACCGUAAGGUAUCAUCUUUGUCUGUUGUAUUGUGGUGUAUUUCCUAGUUUGUUGCAUUAAAUUUUUGGUUUAGUUUUUAGUUUGUGUACCUUUUGACAUUUGCUUCUUGCCUGUUAAACAAUAUUGUCUCAUGCAAUGUUUUUAGAACUAGACCGGUAAUUGACCCAAAAAAGUUAUUGGGUUAAGGUUAACUAGCAUGGUCAAACUAUGAUGUUUUAUAUUGCUAAAAUUUAAAAAAUAUAUAAAUAAUUAAAAGACUUAAAAGAUGAUUCAUCUUUUUUGCCUUUAACAUUACUAGAUUAAAUCAUGAGAAGAAUAAAAUGUAAAUGUAUUAAUAUUUGUAAUUUAGUUAAAUAUAUAUAUAUAUAUAUUAUGGAUUUAUCCAUAUUUUAAAAAUUAUAUAUUUUAUCAUUCUAUUGUGUUCAAAAUUGAUAAAUUCAUUUACCUAUGGUAUUAUUAUGCUUAUCAACUUAUGAAUGAAUUGAGGUUAAUAUUCAUAUUUAUUUUGAAGUUUUUAAACAUGCUAUUUUACUAAUGUAACUCAGCAUAUUUUUAAAGGGGUUAACUUGGCCUAGUGGCAGCUAGCACUUAGUUUUUACAAAGGGGCUGGGUUCAAACCCAGGCACCCUCCACACUCUGCAAUCCACUUUUGGAAAGAAAAAAAAACCCCCUGCCUAACAGGUAAAAGAACCAGUCCGUCAGUGGUUUAACCAGUAGAAUUGGCUGGUCCAGUCCGAUUUUAAAACAUUAGCCUUAUGAUGUAAUAUGGGUUUAUUAGAUGCUAUAUGUUUGGUUAUUGGAAAAUUUGAGGGAAAUGUGAGGCAAAGAAAAUGAAGAGGAAAAAUAAAAGGAAAGAAAAAUAAAGGAAAAUAAAAAAUAUGUUUGAAAUUAAUAAAUUAUUUUGAUAUGCUCUUUCAAACUCAUUUCACUCAUCUUUCCACUUCUAUAUAAAGAUUAAAUAAUUUGAAAAUACAUAAAACUUUAACUAAUUUUAAUUAUAUUUGAUUUUAUUUUGUAUUUUCUGUGGUAAACCAAAGAAGAGAAAUUUUUUUCCCUUUUCCUUAGUACUUUCCAGGAAUCAAACAUAACCAUUGUGGUUUCGUCAAAAUAAUGUAUGAUGGAAUAUGAGACUUACUUUCUUACUUACCAAAAAGAAAAAAAGUAAAAGAAAAAUACGGGACUACUUUCUUCUCCUCUUUAAUUUGCUAUGCUAGCAUGGUGUCAGACUCUCAUCCGACUUUGUUAUAUUUGGCUCUUUUUUUUAGACAUUUUUUUCCUUCUCCCAUUCUUCCUGUUUUUGGUUGAUCCCGCCAAAGGACGUUUUCCAAGAAUCAUUAAAGCUUUUGGUGAUGUCAGCAAUCCAUAAUGUGUUAAUGCCAGCAUACGUAUGAACUGGGAGAGUUGAUAGAAUGUAAAUGUAAAAGUAAAUUUGUUUUGCUUUUACUUGUCCUUUAAUAUGUCCCCUAAAUUCUUCAGCCUCUUUUAAAUAAUAUUUAUAAUUCAUCAUGAGAGAAAUAAAAAUCUCACAUCUAUUAAUUCCAGGUUAUCCUUUCCUCUAAAUUCUUAUUUCUCCCAUUUUUUCCAGUUUUCUUUUAUGCCUGACACUAUGGUUGUUGUUUGUGCUCUUUAACAGGUAGCAGAGUCAAAACUGGCAAAAUUUGUUGAAGAUAUUAUAGUUCCUCCAAGGAUGGUAGACAUAAUUGUUGAUGGAGAGGUAAUUGCAAUUUUUGUGCAUUUAUCUACAUUUUUGAUAUUAUAGUUCCUCCAAGGAUGGUAGACGUAAUUGUUGAUGGAGGGGUAAUUGCAAUUUUUGUGCAUUUAUCUACAUUUUUUAUUUCAUUGAAAUAGUUUUUUCUUAUCAUGCUAAUUUCAAACUUGCUCUUAUCUGGUAAUUUUCAGAAGUAUUUUUGGGGUAACCUGUCCUUGGCAUUUCCUGUAUUUUAGAACAAAAAUACAGGUUUAUUAACCACUCAAUUAUGUUAUUGCUGGGUAGGUUUGUUAAAUAAUUGUUUUUUAAUUCUUUUAUUGAUGCUGUUGUUUCAAGCCUUAGGAUGUGGAUUUUGGUCUUGUUUGAUACGGAUUUAGCUUCUAAUAAGGUCAUUUUUGAAAGAUCCCUACAUAGACUGAUAGAAGAGCUUGCUGGAAGGAGAAUUGUUAGUCUUUGGUUACCAUAUUUUUAGAAAGACUUUUAAUAUGGAUAAUUUUGUCAUCAUACCUAUGAGGUUAUAAAUGUCCAUGUGUUUUUUUUUUUCUAGAAUAAAUACUAACUUCCAGCAUCUCUUUCAAAGCUAUUGUAUUGUAACUUUGACUAAAGGAGCUUUAAGUCGUAAUGUCUUUAACUCAAAGGAUUUCUUAGAUACAACUAAACAUAGGAGAAAAUAAGGUUUUAUUGUCAAAAUGCUCUUUUAAGCCAUAUAAAUAGUUCACCAACUGGGGCCUAGGAAGUAGUAACAGAUAGUACGAUUAGUGAUUCUUUUUAUGGUUGGAGACAUUAUUAGUCAUUUCUUGAGUGGUUUCAUGAAAAGACUUAAAACGCAAGGACUUUGGUUUGGGACAUUUGCUUUAGUAGCAAUUUAAUGGUUGUUUUCUAUGCACAAUAUAAUCAAUAGUUCUUAUCAAAAAAGAUAAAAAAAAAAUAAAAAAAUCAGUAGUUGGGGUUCUUCUUGACUACAAAAUUUGUUCUUUUGUGUUUCCUGUGUACUAGAUUGAGAGAUUUUAGUAUUCUUUUACAUAAAUUAGACUUGGAAAACUCAUUCCACAGGGCUGAGUUGGUUUACAGGUAUUUGUUUUUUCCUUUCAACAACUCUGUUCAUUCAGUAUUAUGAACAUGUGUACUUUGGUAAUAAUCACUCAUUCACCUAUAAGACCAGAUACUCUCUGGUAUAUAAACUCCUUUCUCUGCCAUCUUAACCUGGUUAAUUUUGUAGCUGUUGGUGCUUUGUCAUAUAUGAUUUACUUUUAGGUAUAGCAUAGUGUUGAUCUGUUAUGUGCAUGAUAGAAUUCAGCCACGUUUCCUUGGUUUGCUUAUUGUACAGUACAAGUUGCCUUUUGAUUCAUCUUCUGAAUAUGGAAUUUAUUCUGUUUCUGAAUACAAUUCAAGUAUUUUGUCUGAAAAGAAGUUAUCUUGUUUUUGUUCUCACUUAGCUGCUAAUCUACUUGGAUUGGUAUUCUUGUUCAGGUGAAUGAGGAAUAUAUGAGAACUCUUGAGAUCCUAAGUAAGAAGUUGAAGUUUGUUGAAGUGGAACCUAUGGUUAAAACUUCAAAAGCUCUAAAAGAUGUUCAACCCGAGCUAGAAAAACUUCGUCAAAAAGCAGUCUCAAAGGUUGUUAGCUGGCAUAUGAAGAUGCAAUUUUCUGUUAUUAACCAGUUAGUUACAUGUAUGGCAGCAUGUUUCACUACAUAGGUGUCAUCAUGUUUGAUCCCACUCUAAUGUCUUGGAUAUCAUAUGUUUUUAUGCAUGGAUGUCAUACAUAUAAUGCCUGCAUUUUAGAUGGUGUUUUUUGCUUCAGUCUGGUAGUGUGGAUUAUUAAUUGGCUCCAUUAAGAAAGAUCUGCAGCUAUGACUCUGGAUCUGUUGCAAUCAUAUGUAUUGUAAAGAACCAAAAAUACACAUUUAAACAUGAGGCAGUUGGUACAUGCUAUAUUUGUCACUUUAACCUAUUUAACAUUACAACAUCUACAUCCACUCUAUUCAGCUUUCAAUUAUGUGGAAAACUAAUUAAUUAUUCUUUGUUAAUCUUCUAAAAAUUCUAGGCUUAUUUUUCCUUCCAAUGAGAUCUUACAAAAUCAGAACUCUCACUCGUCUGCCAACAAGUGCAGUGUUCUUAAUUUGCUUUCCUAUUUCCCUUUGUGGGGCAGGGAUAUGAUAGAAGUUUCAUCUGUAAAUCAUAGAGCUAUCAAGGUUGUUCAAAAGACUUGGUUCAUUUAUUACUGGAAUCUUACCAGUUUAGGUAAAUUUGCUAAUAGAAAGGCUUACUUGAAAAUCAAAAUCUGAACUGUCAUGAAAUUUUUUUUCCUCGAAGAGGCAAACAGAAAAAAGCAGGGGGCACCAAAAAUGAUUCAAAUGAUUUAUAUUAAUCACAUAAUGAUAGUUUGUUGGAAAUUCAUGAAACCCUAUUACUGCAUAUGUUGUCCAUCAAUAAUUACAUGUAAAUCUUUCUAUCCAUCCUUCUGCAGGUGUUUGAGUUCAUUGUUCAGAAGCUUUAUGCAUUGAGGAAACCUAAAACAAAUAUCCAGAUCCUUCAACAGAGUGUUCUUCUAAAAUACAAGUUAGUUGUUUAAUUUGACUUUUUUAAUGGUGCUUUGCUCAAAUUCAUUUAUUUAUUGUUUGGUGCAAAAUCAACCAUGUUUGAUCUUUUGUGAUAUCCAACUCAUUUUUUGCCCUAGAGUUUCAGUUGUUUAUAAUAUGUGAAUCACAAUUAGUAUUGUAUUUUUGGCCUGUUGUUUGAACUGUUGUUUAUCAUAAUAUGUGACAUCCAAAUAUUUGAACUGUUGUUUCUUGUGCCCUAUUAAGAAACCAACUUGCAGCCAUGUCUAAUUUAUGUUGCAUUGAGAACCUGUUACUGAUAUUUUCAAUAAUUUUCAUUUACCGUAUCUAUUUGCAGUAGAUGAUGAUAUUAGGAACCUUUUUAUAUGUUUUUAAUAUUCUCCAGAAGCCAUUCCUAUUCACGAUAUAUGACUUAUAUUGGGAUUUGUUGAUAUUUUUGUCUAUAUUUUUAAUGUUAUCAUAUGCCCUACUGAUUUUCAAUAGAUGAAAUACAUCAGAAAUUUGUAUAUUAUUCUUCAUAUUUUUAAUAUUCUCUAUAUAUCAUGCCUGUUAUCAAUUGAUGAAUGCUUUGGGAAUUUGUUUAUAUUUCUAUUCACUAUGGCAGGAUUCUACUGUUUUCCUUGUCAUCUAUACAAACAGUAAUGCAGUUAUGUCAUGUAAAAAUAUUGAGUUUACCAAUAGGAGAAACUAGGCGUGUAUUCUUGUCAGUUUCAAUUUUCGAGUGUGUUGUAGUCCAUUCUUCUGGUUCUUGAGUUCAUGGUGCUGAUUAACUGUUGCUUUACUUGUUUAAUUUUUGUCAUUAAGUUGUUGAUAGAAGGUGCUUAAUCUUUACAUUGAUUUUCUAUAAUCCGACUUCUGAGUAAAGUAUCAAUGCAUGGAACCAACUAAAACAUUAAGAAUUUAUGUUUGUAAAGAGUGCCACUAAUCCAAAUUGGAUAAUUAGUAUCCAUUAUCAAGUUUACCUAUGUUUAUGGCUUAUCCAUCAAUUUAUUAGUUACUGCAGUUGUUUGUGUUAAUCACAAUAUUUUUUCUUUUGGAAAGAGAUUGUGUCAGUUAAAAUUUUAAUGUAAUUUAAUAUGAAUUAACAUGAUGUGCAGGUAUGUUGUUUCCUUUCUCAAGGAACAUGGCAAAGAGGUAUAUAUUGAAGUCCGUGCGGCAUACAUUGAUACAAUGAACAAGGUAAAUGCUAUAGAAUCAACUGUAAAUCUCAGAAUUAAGUUUUGCUUGCACUACACCAUUCAAAUACAUUUAUAUGGAUAUUUUAAAUAUUGUUCUCUGGUUUUUUUCCCUUUAAUGGAUGGUGCAGUGAUUUGUGGUUUUUUUUCUCUUAUUUGAUUUCUUUUGGCAUUCAACAUGUUGUACAUGUAACCGACUAUCUCUCUUUUGUGCAUAUGAGUGCCCCUAUGGUUUUCGAUCACUGUAUACAUGUUUUACACAUGUAUGUUAGAAUUCCAUCUUUAACAGCUAAUCCUGUUUUGAAGUUCCAAGGGGAUCAGGUUAAAGUUAUCUCAGAGAUGCAUGCUAAGCAAGUUUAUUUUGCAGGUUUUAAGUGCACAUUUCCGUGCUUAUAUUCAAGCUUUAGAAAAAUUGCAAUUGGAUAUAGCGACAUCCAGCGAUUUGAUUGGUGUUGACACCAGAAGCACCAGUCUUUUCUCAAGAGGAAGAGAACCUUUGAAGAACCGAUCUGCUGUUUAUGCUUUGGGGGAGAGGAUAAGCAUUUUAAAGGUAUUUUGCUGCUAACAUUGAGACACACACAAACACAAACAUACACAAACACGCAUGUACAUAUGGGUGUCAUAUGCAGUGAGAUAGAGUUUAUUUGCAAUGUCCAAUAUUAAAAACUCCCUAAAACCCAUUGUCUCAUUCUUUACAAGGUUGCAAUACGAUUCCCAAAAUGCCAUGGUGAAACCAGUUGGCCUUGGAGCUUUAUUCCCACACAAAGGGGACAAGAUGGUGGAAACCUCCUCCUCAUAAAAGGGCACCUCCAAGCUCCUUCAAUCAUCACUUCCUAGAGCUUCAAAGCUCAUCUCACUAAUUCUCGAUCUCCAAUCCCCCACUUUGAACAGGAGGGUUUGAAAGACCUUAGACACCCCCUCCUUUAUAUCUGCAUCCUCAGACAACCAUUCUCCAUUUGCUCUGACUUUGGCUAAGAAAUCUCUUCUUUUAUGUGCGUGGGCCAUUUUAUGAAAGAAAAUUGGUGUUUUUAUCCCAUCUCUUGUUCAGCAAGCAUCCCCCUUUUGGCUUUCUCCAAGAAACCAUACUAUUGUCCUGCCCCAAGUCUGGAUGCCCUUCAGUUGAGACAGAAUAGGAAGAAGAAGAGAUCCUGCCCCUCAACAAGGAAACAAAGGACUGAGGUCUACCUAUAAAUCUUGCAGCUUUGGCUAACCGCAUACACCUCCCCUUUGAUCUCUGGGUUGUCCCCAACACACAUGGGUCAAAGAAUAAGGACCUGUUGCGACCCCUCACAUUGCAGGUAGGAGAAAUCUGGAACCCCCUCUGGGUUCCAUUUCCUUUCAUUAUAAGAUUAAGUUUGGGUUUCCCCUGUUUGCCUUUGGCCUGAUCCACUUUGAAUAGGCGCUUGAUUGGGCUGCAAGAUACAUCACUAGACCCAGCUGGGCCAGAUCCACUAGGGUAGUCUCCACCUUCAAAUCUUGCCUGGCCCUUAUCACCUAAGUCCAAUGAGCUGCAUUGCAAUGGGCUAGAGGCGGUCCAAUUCCUUUUAGGAAUAAAGCUUAUUUGGGCCCACCAGCUCAACAACACCCAUACAAUGUCCCUUGGAAGCCUCGAGGGGAGCCCAACAUCCUAUCAGGUCCUACAAACUCCUGAUUGCCAUAGACUGAAACAGCUGGUCCCACCACUCCAUUUGCAGGCUUCUUUCUAAUGCUUUUCUUCUCUGUUCUCUUAGAAACCUUUAUUCAGAAAAAUUACAUAUAUAUAUUAAUUCAGUUCUCUGUAGUUAUAAAUGAAAAGGACAAAACUAAAAUAAAAUGUUUUCAUUUUCUUAGGUUCAUGGCAUUUUCUUAGUUUGUCCUUUUCAUUUAUAUUUUCUAUGGUUUCCAGUAAUUUAGACAAUAUGCAUAUGGUGCUUAACAUGGUUUGUGCAAGAGGGGUUUUUCUAUUGUUUCCAUGUGUGCAUGAUUCUCAAUAUAAUAAUGGGCCAUCUAGAUAGAAUAGUCUUCUAAAUGGAAAUGUUUAAGCAUCAACAUUAAAAAAACUCAUUGUAGACUCUGAUUAAAAAACUCAUUAUAAAUGCUUGUUUCAUGGCAAUAAAAUGUCUGCUUUUGAUCACAAAAAUAAAUUAAAAAAAAAAGAAAAAGAAGAGAGAUUCAUUAUUCUCUAAAAGCCUGGCUUACCAGAAGAAAACAAAGAAAGAGAGAUGGAGAGAGAGAGAGAGACUCAUUAUUAAUGCUAGUGUAAUUUUAUUUGUGAUUGAUGCUAUGAUUAUAAAUUGUGGUCCAGAAGACUCAAACAGCUAUGUUUUGUCAGACCUCCAUAGGAAAUGGAGGAAGGAUCACCUGUUCACUCUUGACUAACUUUCCUGUUUACUAUCUUUCAAUGAUCAAAAUGAUGGUUUACUCAUGAAAUUAAGAGAUAGAUUUUGUGGAGUUGACAGUAGCGUGUUACUCUAAAAGUGAGGAAGUCUGGUUUUAGGUGAAUUGAUUUCAAGGAAUAAAAUUUUCCCUCUCAGUUAGGAGCUGAACAAGUGGGGCAUUUUACUAGAGAAUGUAUGAGCUAAGGCCAUAUAUUGUUCUAUUAAGGAAAUUGUGUCUUGUUUUGACUGGUGUUGACACAAAAGUUCGGUCAAAAUUUUCCCAAAACCUUGAUGAGUUAUGAAUGACAUUCAUAGAUACAAGGGGGAAAAGGUUGAACCCUAUUAACAAUAAAUUUGUGAGGGUUGGAGAGAAUGGAUGAUGUUUGGUGACAUGCAGGACAAUCUCUAUAGUGUCUGUAUGAAAUCCGUAAAAGAAGAAAGAUUCCUCUUAUGAUUAAAUUUGGGGUAACUGCGUUUUGUUUUUUCCUCUAUUUUCCUUUUUUUCAGUUGUAUUGCUUUCUUAUUUUCUUUGUAUCUAACUGGAACAUGUACUUUGAUUCUUCAUUGGGUUCAGGAGAUUGAUCAACCUGCAUUGAUUCCACAUAUUGCUGAAGCCAGCUCCACAAAGUAUCCUUAUGAGGUCCUCUUCAGGAGUUUGCACAAGCUGCUUAUGGAUACUGCUAGUUCCGAGUACCAUAGAGUUUGCUCUGUCCCUUGGUUCUUCUAUUUAAAUGCUUGUGAAUGCUUAGUCAAUAUAUCUUUAUUGCUUUUCUUUUAUCCUACAGGUACCUUUUCUGUGAUGAUUUUUUUGGGGAAGAAAAUAUAUUUUAUGAAAUUUUUGCAGGUAACAGUGAUUUAUUUUUGUAAAAUAUUUUGAACCUCGACAUUCAUGUACUGAUUGAAAUUUUAGAAGUAGAAGUGCUUCAUUGCGUUGGUCCCUAUCCAAUUUUAUUUGACAUUAUGUGACACAGCUUUUGUAAGAUACAUAGAUUUUGAUAUAAGAAUAUCCUUACAGGUAAUGAAUAAGGUAGCCUUCAAUUAAAUAUCAGUGGUAAGGGCUUUGAGUUUUAGAGAGGAGGGUGGAAUUAAAGCCUGAGGGGUGUGGUGGUGAAAAAGAAAAAAAAAAUCACCAUUAGGGAUGGAGUAAGGGAUAAAAUGGCAACGAUUUUGGGUGGUUUAUGGGCUGAAAUUAGGGGGAAAACCUUGCUGUAAUGUCCAGGCAGCAACUAAAGAACUGGGCUUUAGUGGGGUAAGAUUAGCAAUUGGGUUAUCUUUCUAGGUAGGGUUUAGGGAUAAUCUUCCACACCCCCACCCCCCCUUCUUUUCAUAGGCAAAUAAAGCUGUAUUGAAUCUAUUGAUAAGCACUUAACAGGAAAGGAGCAUACCCUAGGUAUAUUCAGUGUAAAAAAAAACAAUAAAACAACAACUGACUAACCAUAUGAUGGAUACAAAGCACAACCAGCAAUACAAAAGCCUACUAUCCCAAGUUUAGACAAUCAGUGAAAUCCAAUGAACCAGGACACCAUCUCCAAUGGUACUCUAGAUCACUUGAAAAGGGUUUGAUCAAGUCCUCCUUUAGAUCUUGUUCAGGAAGCUCCUCGUUGUUAAAACCAUGACGAUUUCACCCUUAUCAAAAGCACCAGAACAAGCAAACUGAAGUCAUUCACUACACCUUCCUCCUCUUGUCCAUACUCUGAACUUUCCAAUCCAAAAGAAGCUAUCUAAUUGACUCUGGGAAAGUCCACUGCAACCUGAAGAUUUGUGAAGUAAAAGUUGGGGAUUAAUAGUGCUGGUUGUAGGUAAAAAGCUUGCAGACCAGUGUGUCAUUUGGUAUAUCUGGAAUGGAAUAGGAGGGAUUUUGGAGUUUUUGGCCUUGAGGCCAAAAGAUGCUUUCCUUAAGUUUUGGUUGAUCGUCUGUCUAGGGCAAGAUGUCUCUUAUUGAUUUUGUUGAUAAGGUGGGAUUGGCCUGGGACUAUGGCUUGGCUGAGUUUUUUUAUUUGUUUUUCUUUCCUCUUGUCUUUGUAUGGAAAUCCCUUGUAUACUUCCUGUUUGCAGGAUUCAUCCCCUUAUAGGUGCUUUAAUUUAUUACCUCUUCGGCCCAUCAAAAGGGACAAAAGGGGGCAAAAAGAAAAAGAGUCUGAAAAGAAGUGUAGAGCACUAACAGGAGAAAGAGAAGAUGCCUUAAAUUUCACAAAAAACCUUUCAUGAGUUUCACCUUUUAGGGACCAUCAACUGGAGCCUAUAGAACUCUAUACAUUAAUUGGUUAAAUUGUAUCUACGACUCUUGCUUAUAUAGAAGCGGAGUUUCCUCUGGCUUAGAAAACUUCCAAACAAAGAAAUUUUUACCAAACAAAGGCUUUCUAAACUCUAAAUAAGGCUCAAACUUGGAAAGCCCUCACCAAGUGAGAAAUCUCAUUAACUUAAAUCACAAGGGGAAAACACUACUUAUAGAAACUACUUGCUAAAGUUUUCUCUUCAAAUAUAAAAACUACUUCUGUCAUCUCUCUUGAAGGACCUCAAUUCUUGUACUUUCUUUCUUUGAUUAAUGACAUUUUUUAUUGUUUGUGGAAAAAAAGUGUAGAAAACUAAGGACUUCCUAAUUAUCAAAUAAAAUACUUUGGUAAAAAAAGGAUGUUAUCAGAUAAGAUCCGGACUAGAACAAAGAAAGAAGAGAACUAAUAAGAUCCAUGAUGAAAUGCCUACUUUGGUGGAAAAAAAAUAAAAUUAAGGACUUGUUUGGUAACUGUUUUCGAAAACAUUUUUGAAAACUGUUCUCUAAUUUUUGUAAAACAAAAGUCUAUUUGAAAACCUAAAAUGUUUUUAACCUAUUUUUAAUAUUUUAUAUAUGUUUUAAAAAUAAUUUUUAUAUCUAGUGUUUUAUUUUUAAUUAUUCUACAUGUUUGUAUAAUUAUUUCUUAAAACAACCCUCAGAAAACAAGUGAGAACAAAAGAAAACAAGUAAAAGAUUUUAUCUGAAAACACCUUAUUUUCUGUUCUUAAAAACAACAAAUAGAAAAUAGUUUUUCAUUAUCAAACGUGUUUUUUGCAUUUUUUGUUCUAGAGGACAAAAAACCAUUUUAAAAAACAGUUCCCAAACAGACUCUAAAUCUUCAAGUAUCGGAAUAUUGCCUCAAUAUGGAACUUUCAGAUCUAUUCAUAUCUAAGAAGGCUCACAUAUGUUCAUUUGUAACCAUCAAAAGCACACCUCUAUGAAGCAGCACUUACAGUUGAUCGAGGAGCUGCGGCUGUUGGCUUUGCAGAUUUUUAUGGAUGCUAAGACUUUCUUGUAGCCAUCAUUUUAAGCCAGUAACCAUUGUCAUAUACUAGGGACUUGUAAAAAAAACCAUCUUUUUAGGUUUUUAAAUCUUUAAAUUAAUUUAUCCUGAGCAUCAUAAACUAACAUUGCUUGUAAUCUUUGGGCAGUUGAUUCAAGGGUUGAAAUUUUCCUUUGUAAUCUUUGGACUCGGUGCAGGCUGCACAUGGUUCCUAGUCCUCUUUCCUUUGUAGACUUUGUGGAGUGGUUGGGUUUAGGAUAAGGGGGUUGUAGUUGGUGUCCCUCUUUGCUUUUGUGUUGCCUUGAGGUGUUUCUUUGUAUACGUCGUAUGUACUUUGGAACGCUUUUUCUGGUGUUACUUUUUAUAAAUUGAUUCUGAUUACCUAUCUCAAAAAAAAAAAAAAAAAACAUGGGAUAAAUAUGGGCAAUACUAAUUCACAUUUUUUUGGCUUAAAAAUAUUCUUUAGCAGUAAAGAACAUUCUUAUACUUUUUGUGGUUACAAAAUUUUUGAAGACAUAACAAUAACCUCAAAUAUGCUUUAACUUUGAUAUUAUCAGGUCCAUUUGCUGUCAUUGAUGAACACUUCAAUUCAAUCCUUCCAAAUUGUUUUGAUGCAAUUGGCCUGAUGCUUAUGAUCCGCAUAAUACAUCAACACCAGGUAAUGUUACAUCUAUAACAUCAUGGUAUUGCUUUUUUGGGUUAACUUAAUAUAUGUACUUCUGGUUUCCCAACUGAACCUCAUACCAAGAGUCACAAAGACUUCAUUUAUAUGCACAAAUACAUGCAUAUGCACCUGCCUUGUCUAUUCAUCAUCAAUCAAACCAACUGCUUUCAAAGUUGUGGGAUGUGACAAAAUGAAAGUGGACAGAGAACAUUUACAAAAAUUUUAGAAUGAUAUGAUGGAUAUCUAAUUUGAUAAUAGGUGAGUUCAGUGUCAUGAAGCGUAUUGGUACUGAUAGUGAAGAGGCCAGUUUGAAUACAUUAUUUAAACUGAUUAAUGGGCACCUCAAGACAAUAUUGAUUACAUAAAUGUGCAAAAUGUAAACUGUGCUCUCUAAUACUAGCAGUCUGGCUCCGAUUUUCUACUUAUAUUUCUGAGUAUAUUUGUGGGUCUCUGUGAGAUAGUCAAACUUUGUUGUUAAAGUCAUCUUAUUGCUUGAAGUUGGCAUUGAACAUAACACAGGGAUAGAGUUACAACUUGUGUGGUACAAAUUUAAAUCAAGCUUCUGAAAGGUGGGAGCUCUUCUUGAACUCUGACCCAUUCCAAUAUUCAAAUCAACUGUCCAACCUGCUUAACCAGGUCAUAUUGAGUCUGCUUUAAGCACUGGGUCUCAUGUUCUCUUUGGUUUGAAGAGAAUUUGGGUCAGGUUGAUUUAAUGCUAUCUGAUCUCUGUUAAAUGAUCUCCAUUUAUCCAGUACUCAUUUUCAUUGAAUAGUCACAUGGCAAAUUCAUGUUUACUGGUUCAAAAGUAUGCUUGAAAUUGGUAGGGAUUGCAGGGGGCUUUUUAAAGUAGGUAUUUUAUCAAUGAUCACAUUCCCCAGAACAAGAUUAAUUGCUUUGAGUUUUGUUUUAUAAAUAUCAAUUCCCCUGGUCAAAAUCUUUGACCUGAUGCUUUGGCAAGCUCAAACAGUGUGGAGUGUCAUUUUGCAAGUAUUUCAUCCCUAAGUAAAGGAUUUUUAAAAUUUAGCAUAACUAAUCUUUUGCUCUGUGGUUCAAAUUUGGUCAACAUUGAUUACAUAUUACAAUCUGGCACUGAUAACUUCUUUCUUUUUCAGCUUGUUAUGUCUCGUCGGCGGAUUCCAUGCUUGGAUUCAUAUUUGGAUAAGGUCUGUAUCUUCAAAUUUAAUUAAAUAUUUUAUUCUCCAUUUACUUGGUUAUCUAUGAUGAGUGCCCUUACCAUUCAUAAAGGACUGACAAUCAACCACCAUGUAUGCAGUUCUCUUAUAACCACCAUACAUAUUGCAGUGCAAGCUGCUGAACAAUUAGUGGAUUUAGUUAUUUGUCAGAGAAAAACAAAAGAAUAAAGGAAAACGCAAUAUAACUCAAAUAUCUCGGUGGUAGGCUUUAGAAUUAUAUUUUGUAAUUGUGUAGGAAGGUGGGAGGGGGAUGGCUAAGACUCCUAAGAGUUCGGGGAGGUGCUACUUUAUCUUAGUAUCAGUAGAACGUAUUGAAAGACAAGAAAAGUAAAUGGAGAACUGAGUACUUUAUCAUCUUAUUUUUUGUUUCUUAUAGGCUUACAUCAUUCAAGUUUAGAGUGAUGAAAGUUGUACGUAGAAAAGACAACUGCAAAAGUAUAUUUUGCAACCUUGACCAACUUGCUUUGGUUUGACCUGACUUGGAUGAGUGAAUACAGCAAAACUAAGCUAAAUUUAGUCUUAAUUAGAUGACACUAACUAAUUUCAGAUGAAUUUUGCAGGUCAAUAUUUCUCUGUGGCCACGUUUCAAGAUGGUAUUUGACAUGCACUUGAACAGCUUGCGCAAUGCCAACAUGAGGGCAUUGUGGGAAGAUGAUAUUCAUCCUCACUAUGUCAUGAGGCGUUAUGCUGAGUUUACAUCCUCACUUAUUCACCUCAAUGUUGAAUAUGGAGAUGGGCAGGUUUGAUGCAUUUUGUGAUUGAAAAUUCUAAGAUGUUUCUUAGUAAUAUUUUAGUUGGAGUUACUGCUUAAAUAUAUUGCCCCUUGAUAUUUGCAGCUUGAACUAAACUUGGAACGGUUGAGGAUGGCUAUUGAUGAUAUGGUCAUCAAGCUUGCUAAAACAUUCUCAAAAACUAAACUACAGACUGUGUUUCUUAUAAACAACUAUGAUAUGACAAUUGCCAUUUUGAAGGUAUGGAUCAGUAUCUACAUUUUCUUUAUGGACAAAACAAGAUAAUGGAGUCAAGUCACGUAUUAAAUGCUAGACCCCUCAAGUCACUUAAUGGGUUGAACAGUGUGAAGCAUUACUUGGAGAAAUUACUUUGCUUCACAUAUAAUGUCUUUCAGAUGGAAGCCAUGUCUACUCAUCUUGGAUGCUGCAGAAGGUUACAAUUUCCAUAGUUGAUUGCAUUUUUUUUUUCGAUAUUUGUUUACAGGAAGCUGGUCCAGAAGGUGGGAAAAUUCAACUGCACUUCGAGGAACUUCUGAAGAGCAACACAGCAAUAUUUGUGGUAUGAUUUGAGUUUAAAGCUUGUAUUUAUACAGCACAGAAAUCCCAUUAUGAAUCUAGAAGUUGGAUGAUUGCAGCUAAACUCUGUUCGGCUCUUUUUUAGAGAAAAAAAUAUUGACAAAAAUAAUAGGAAUUAGAAGGGGAAGAAUCAUCUCCUUUCAAUCUGCAGUUUGUCUGUUUUCAAAAAGGAGUAAUCCAAACAUCAAGCCAUUAAUCUUUGCUUCAGAAAACCAUAUUGCUUGGUAGUGUUAGAACAGUAAAACCUUUUCCAUCAGUAGCAAAAGUGAGUUAUGCAACUAGUUCUUUUACAAAUGGGUCGUCUGAAACCUAAUGGGUUGAAUCCCUGUGGCAAGACCGAUCAUUUAGGCUGAUUUUCGAACUCCUGUUACCUUGCCUGUGUCUCCCUGCAGGAGGAACUACUACUAGAGCAUUUCGGUGACCUAAUCAAGUUUGUAAAGACCAGGGCCUGUAAGUAUCUCCAUCUUUUCACCCUCACUGUGACAUCUAACUUCUCCAUUGGCUACAUAAGCUUAUGUGCAAAGCUCUGUUAUUAGCCGAGGACCCGAGUUCCAGCUCCGAGAGGCCCAUAACUGUGGCUGAAGUUGAACCGCUUGUGAAGGACUUUGCAAGCAGAUGGAAAUCUGCGAUAGAGCUGAUGCACAAAGAUGUGAUUACCUCUUUCAGCAAUUUCUUGUGCGGUAUGGAGAUCUUGAGAGCUGCAUUGACACAGCUGCUGCUUUAUUAUACCAGACUUUCCGAUUGCAUAAAAAGAAUUCCCGGUGGAUCGGCCCUGAACAAAGAUCUCGUUUCCAUAUCAUCGAUCAUGUAUGAAAUCAGAAAAUACUCGAGAACUUUCUAAAUCAUCGACCUAAUGCUGCUGCUCUGCUGGUGGAAAACAAGGCUUUGAACAGAGGUUGAUUGUUGUCAUGGCAACGGAAACCAUUUUGGACGUAGGCUCAAAUUUGAGGAUAAACUUAACAAACAUUAAAAUGGAGAGGGAAAAAAAUACAGAAAAACAAACUAUAAUUCGUAAUUAUUUUGAAUGUUUCGUGACCGUUGCAAACGGUGAGUAAAGUUUGGAAUGUGAUUUUUAUUAUUAGUUGUUUCUAAUAAAAUAGGAAUUUGAACUGGGGCUGUGGAUGAUGCAGGAGACACCUAGGUGAAGUUUAUGACUUAUAGCGUUAAGUUAUAGCUUUGAAUGAAUUUAUUUUUGAAAUUUGCUCCCUCUAGUUUAAUUAAAGGCAAGCAGAUCUUUAAAAAAAAAUACUAAAAAAUUUAUAUUUUAGAGAAAACAAUUUAGCAAAUGAAAAUAGAGCUUCAUAUGUAAGUCGUCCUAAUUUAUCUUAAAUUUUUUAUUUUAUCCCAUUAAAUUGAGUGGAAAUUUCAUAAAUUAUUUUUAUUUAAAUAAUAAUUAUUAAAUGAUCCUAAAAAAUUAAAUAUUAGAAGGUUUCCUUUUGGUUCAACUUUUCAAACUUCUAUUACUUAUAUUUAUUUUGUAAUUAUCACCCGCACAGCCGUCUUAGCUCAGCCGGUAGAGCGCGUGGCUUUUAACCACGUGGUCGUGGGUUCGAUUCCCACAGACGGCGAUACUUUUUCCAUUUUAAACCUUUGUCUUAACGGCGUCGUUUCAUGUCAAUUUUUUAUUGGUUAUGAUUCAGUGAUGCGCACCACCAACAUCUCGCCUGCUUCCUCGCCAUCCCACCACACGUUUCUUUCCUCAUUGGAUGACGAAGAUGGUGAUAAUUCGGUGGUGCGCACCACCGCCAACUCUCCUGCUCCCUCACCAUCCCACCGCACGUUUCUCCUGUCCCAAACCUCCAUCCGUCGUCUAUGCAAAAUCAUCUUCUCCUGCUUCUUCUUCGACAACGAGAAGAGCUCUAUCUCUUUCUCUAAUCUUCUCAUCAUUCACUUGUUCUUAUUAUUCUUCUUCAGAAGCUGCCACUUCUGAGUUCUUCGAGCUCCAAGGUUCGGGUGGUGUCAAGGCAUUGGACCUCCGAACUGGUUCCGGUGAGGUUCCCGUGGAUGGCGACCAGGUGAUUCCCUUCCCAUUCUCUCAAUUUUCUCUCUAUCUUAUUCAUUUUUUUCAUGCAUGCGAUUAAACCCUAAAUUCUAACCCUAGGUGUAUGUUUAUUUAUUAGAAUCCUGAAAUUUGCUAAUCGAUAGGCUAUGUAUGCCAUGAAACCCUAAUUUCAAAUCCAAGGUGUCAGUUCAUUUGCUAGAGUUUUAACAUUUGCAAAUUGAUAGACUAGAUGAUUAAAGAAAAAGAAAAAGAAAAAAGUAGUGCUUUGAUAAGAGCCCUAAGAUCUUUUGGGAGGGUGUGUUUUGCUUGUCCUUGAAAGCUUAAGGAUUGAAGUUGUGGGUUACAGGUUUUUGGUAACUUGUAAUUUGCAAGUAAUUUCUUCAUUAUCUGGAAAAACCGGUUUGGUCCUUCCAGUUUUUAAUUUCAUUUUUGAACAAUAUGACGGGUUUAGGAGAAGGGGAAAAUAGUGCUAAGAAAUCCCCACUUUGAGUGCUUGUGUGGGUCGGGGGUUGGGGUUCAAGCCUGCAUAUUUAGAAACUAUAAUGAAAAGUUAUUUUAAUAUUUCAUAAUUUUAUUAUUGAAAGGACCUUUGUGAUCGACUUACUAGGAUUUGUGAUUGAAAAUUCCCAUCUUUUGAUUAGUGAUGCAAGAAGCAAUAUAAUGGGAGCAGGUUGGAGUUGAAUGUUUAUUAGGAACUCGAUAUGUGGCUUACCAGUCAUAAUGGCAAUUCUCAUGGUUCUGUGUAUUAAUAAACUUGUCCAUGCUAUAUUGUUACGCAGCAUGUGAUAUAGUUUAUGAUUGGCUGACAUAGAGCUAAUUAAUACUUUUCUUGACGAUUCUGAUUAAACCAUUCUAGAAUUCAUACUUCUACAAAUAACCCACCAAAAAAAACACCAUUCUAGACUAUCAUAUUGACUGUUGUUAUAUUGGAAAUCCUGUAAAGUGCAGCAUUUGAGAUAUUGCAACAAAUAAAAAAUCCAAGAAUACAUUGCCUAGCUUUUUUUGCUUUUAAACACUGUUUAUCAUAGGAUCUAGAAUAAAAAAAUGUGGAACAUUAAGACCUUUUAUAAUAAUCAGCACAAACUAACCCUAAUUUGGUUUUUGAAUGUGCAGGUUGCAGUUCAUUACUAUGGAAGAUUGGCAGCUAAACAAGGAUGGCGUUUUGAUUCAACAUAUGAUCACAAAGAUGAAACGGGUGAACCGAUUCCUUUUGUCUUCACCCUUGGGUCUGGGAAAGUAAGUCUGAUGGUUUUCCAAUUCUUCUUUAUGUGUAUACCGCUCAUUUCAUGUUUAUGGGUUGCAAAAAUGCCUCAUGUUGCAAAUACAAGGCAUGCAAUGCUUAUGGUUUAUGUUAUCAACCCAUGCCCAAAUGGAUGGGAGCUUGUGUUGCUUCUCUUAAUUGUUUUAGCUUUCAUCUUUUCCUUUUCUUUCACUAGUUUAUAAUGUUCCUUCUGAAGAAUCUGAACCCCGUAUGCUUGUAAUGCAGAGGGUCAGCUGCAUGCCUGGAAACUCAUGUUGACUGACUUAUCUGAUCAUUUCCUACCAUCCAAGUCACACAUGAGCAGGGCCAAAUGAGAUCCAGCUUCUUAUGAGUCCUAGUUUGGAUUUCAAGUAGAAUAGCAUAAGAUGUGGGCUUUCUAUUCCCUCAAAUAAUUAAUUUAAUUGAGAACUUACCAUCAAUUGCAAACUCCAAUUUAUUUCAUAUCAUAUAUUAUUAACAGGGAUAGAGAUUCCUGAAUAUAAGAAAGUUCUUCCUUAGGAAGAUUUUUAAAUCAAAAGUAAAAUUCCAAAUCUGAGUACUGCAAUCAAGAAAAUUUUGAACCUUAGGAUCCAAUUAGUUCUUUUUCUGGACUCCGAAGGAGCAGAACUACCAUUGCCAAUCAGGGUUUAAAUCUCUGCUUCCCUUUGUAUAUAUCUCUUACAAUAGUUUUUUUCCUUUUUUUCUCUUCUGAUGAUAGUUUAGAAUAGUAAACUUCUUAUCAUAGAAUGAUAAAUGGUAUUGACAAUUGGAUCUCUUUAAUGAUUAUUCUUAAGAAAUCAAAUUUAGAGGUUUUUUUGUUUUAUUUUAUAUUUGAUGCGAAAUGUCAGAGUUGUAUGCAGGUUAUUUCAGGGAUUGAAGCUGCUGUGAGAUCUAUGAAAGUAGGGAGCAUUCGUCGAGUCAUCAUCCCACCAUCCCAAGGAUAUCAGAACACAUCCCAAGAGCCCAUACCACCCAAUGUAUGUUCUCUAUUUUUCAACUACAUUCCUCUUAGGCUAUGUUUUGGUUAAAAUUUGAUGAUACAUUGCUUGGGGAAAAAGAUGUGUCUGUUAUAGAUCUACUCAAAUGGUAUUAACUUGCCCCAUUACCAUUAACCUAAUAACAUGUGAGAUUUUAUUAUUAUUGGUGGUUUAAAUUGAAUAAUGGCAGCAACUAGCGAUACUUUAGUUACGCUGUUGGACAGCCUUGCCACAAUGCUGAACGCUAUGUGCAUUUCUAUUAGCUCAGAUUGUUUUUGUGCAGCCUUUCCCAGACUGUUAAUCUUCUUUGUUAUGUCCUUUUAACAGUUUUUCGACAGGCAGAGAUUAUUUACCACCAUUUUUAAUCCAACCCGUCUUGCAAAUGGAGAAGGCUCGACGUUGGGGACUCUCAUAUUUGAUAUUGAAUUGGUCAGCCUGAAGCACCCAUGAAACCCAGAUUCCAUGAUUCUAAAAACAAGUUAUUUGUAUUCAAUACAAGCUGGAUCCUGCAUUUUCAUUCGAUUGUGAGUGCUGAAGGUGUUGCAGCCUCUUAUCUCUGAUACCAAGCUUCCAGAAUGUUGGUUUCCCAAGCUCUACACCAAUGCUCCAAUGAGAUAAUGCAGGUGUGUGUGUAUGUAUGUAUGGGUUCUCUGUUGAUAGUCCAAAAUGUACCUAAAAUUUGGAAGUUAAAUUUUUUAAUUGGGUCAUUUAGCCAAGCUAUGAAUGUCACUGGAGGUUAAUUUUGAAUUGGGUCAAGUUAAUUUUGAAUUGAAAUAUGAAAAAAAAAAAUAGUUUUUCAAUUUAACAAUGUCUAAUUAUAUGCUACAUGAAAAAGUUUUUGACCUAUUUUUUGUGCUUCCAAUUAUUUUUUACACUAUUUUACAACAAAAGCCUGAAAAUACCUCUAAUUGCUCUAAAAAGUUAUUCUAUUUUUAAAUCCUAAAGAUGUUUUGGAAGUUGAGAAACUUCUUUCUAUUAUUCCAAACAAAUCCCAAGGUGAAGUUAACACAUCUAAGUGGAAAAAGAUGAGAUGGAGAAAUUAUUUUGGGCCCUCAUCUUGAGCCCUAAGGAAUUUGAAUCUUCACUUGGAAAUUGGGUAAAGCCAAUUAUAAAAAUGUAAGGAUUUGGAGUAAAGGCAAAAGUGUUUGGAGACAAACUGAAUAUUGAGCUUCCAAGGAAACUUCAUAUUAUCAAAUUGUCAUCCAAAAGAUUAGGGUUUAAGAUCAUUAAUAGAAUCAUCACCAAAUAUUUUGGUUAUAAAAUGCUUUGAAAUUUAAUUUAUAGAAUGCUCUGAAAUUUUAGUUUAUUUUAUAAACAGUUUACAUGAAAAUCUCAGGGAAGGUUGGGUGUUUAUUUUUAUUUUUUUUACAAAAAAAAUAAAAAGAUAUUGUUUCAAAUGUUUUUUUUUUCUAAAUAUAGCCAUUAUUUUUAUUUUGCUGAUAUAUUAAGUCCUUAAUUUCAAAACUUCCAAGAAAAAUAUUUAGCAUCGAAACCUUUACAAAAUCAAUUAUAAUUAUAAAUAGUUUAUUUUAUUUAAUUAAUUAAUUAAUUUUGAGAAAAUAGCAAUGAAAAACAAUUUAUUAACUUAAAUUUAAUUUUUUUCAUUUCUACCCCACAAAAUUUCUAGAAACAAAUCAAAACACAAAUGCUCUCCCUUGCUUCCAUGACAGAAUUAGUUCUCAUUUUCACAUCUAUGAAUAUGAAUGGAAAGAUCCCAAUUAUAAUCUCUACAACAAGUUGUUAGAAUCAAUGAUAUUCAAAUCAUUCAUCUAGAAAGAUAGAAACUUUUAUUAUUAAAUGACUAUAAUAUUUUUUUUAAAAUCAAAAUUCAUUUAUUAAUGGAGGAACAAUAUCAUCAUUUUAAAUAAGAUACCAAAGUCUAUCAUCCACUCAUUCCAAAAGGGAAGUAGUGGUAAGAAAUCUUUUGAUGACACAUAUCUCCAUUUGUAGAGUAUGACAAAAGAAAUUAGGAUUAAAAAAGUGACUAUACCAUAUGGAUAACCUUGGAAGAAUAUCAUUAAUUUAUAAAACUUUUUUUUUUUAGAAUUUUAUGGUAAUUUGUCGUUUUUAUUCUCAAAAUUAUUUAAUUAAAGAUAAUAAAUUAGGGGAAAAAAAAAAGAAAAAAAAAAGACCCACAACCCAAAAUUAUAAAAGAAAAUAUAUACAUAUAUACACAGUGGCGCAUGACUCAAAACCACUUUUCCAUCAUUUUCUUGGGAUUUCUCUGUUUAUGUAUAAAACUUGUGUCUCACACUCCUCCAUUCAAACCCCACACUUUUUUGCCUCUUUCCCCCACCAAAGCAAAAGCAGCGAGUGAGGAGGAAGAAGCGGUGGAUAAAGGAGAAGGAGAAGAGGAACAGAGCUGAGAUCUGCGAGGCAAAAUUCCUCCCUGAGAUGGGUCAGAAGUCUCUCAUCUACGCCUUCGUGGCUCGUGGGACUGUGAUUCUGGCGGAGUACACUGAAUUCAGCGGCAAUUUCAAUUCCAUUGCCUUUCAGUGCCUUCAGAAACUCCCCGCCACCAGCAACAAGUUCACCUACAAUUGCGACGCCCACACCUUCACUUACCUUCUCGAUAAUGGCUACAGUGCGUGCCUUUUUCUCCUUUCCCUUCUUCUCUUUUGGUUUCGGUUUUUCUUUACUGGAAAAACGUGGGAGUUUGAAGUAUUUUAGGUUUGGAAAGAGACGGGAGUGGAUGUUGGUGUGGUUUUGUUUGGUUUGGGCGAGUGGUUUUUCAAUUGGGUUUGAUUAGUUUGGUUUCUACGUUUUAGUUUGUUUCUGGGAUUUGUUUGAUUGCUGAGAAAAUGUGGAAAGGGGAAGAAAGGUGAAGACUAUGUUUAUGUGAUGCCUACACAUUCAUUUCCCGUCCCCACAAUGGUUGCAGUACCUCUCUUUCCUUUUCUUUUUUUUUCUCCUCUUUUCUUUGAGUUUCCGUGUUUUUUUCUGAGAAAAUGCGGUAAAAUGAAGAAACCAAAUUACUGUAGUUCUGUUUAGGUUUACGGGGAGCUAGGGUUUUCAAGUGGGUUGGUUUAAUUUCUAUGUUGUGGUUUGUUUCUCAGGCCCGCUUGGUUCCUGAGAAAAUUUGGGAGAAGGAAAGAAAAUGAAAUUAGCGUUUUGAAUCUAAGAUAUUUUCCUUGUUGGGGUUCUUCUUACGAAUACAAACCAACGGAAAACAUGAUAUUGAGUAUUGUGUUUUUCUUUCUCUCUCUUCAAUGAUCUGAUUGUUCUUGUUUGUAUAAUGUUUUGAUCCUAUAGUGGUUCAGAUCUGGUUUUUUUUUUUCCUUUUCCCUUUUCUUUUUGCCUGAGAAAGUUGAAGAGAAAUAAUUCUAUGAAGUUUUAUAUUAGUUGCAAAUUCUCCAUUUAGUUGCCAAGAAAGUAAAAGGAAAUGAGAGUGAACAAGGGAUCAGUUUCAGAACCAAGAAAGAAGAAAAGAAAAACCCAAUCACAAAUUUUCAUUAAGAAUAUAGAAAUGGAGGAACUUUCUCCUAUGUAAAUUAUUAUAUCUUUGAUCAACUUAUUAAAAGUUAAAAACAAAAAUAAAAAUAAAAAUAAAAUCAUUGAUUCAUUUUUGUGCUCUCCAACCAGGAAUCUAAUAUUGUUGUAUUAAUAAAAUUAUUAAAAUUUUUGUAUCUUUUUAAAAUAAGUUGUUUAAGAUCUCGUUUAUUUUUCGUACCUAUGCUGCUGUGCAUUACUCUUGCUCGUACUUGUAUAUUAGACAUUCUAUCUGCAUUAUCUUGUAUGAAGCCUUUGAAAGUUAUUAUUGGUGUUUUCUUUCAUUUAGAUUAAGUUUACACUGGAAAAAUGCACCUUGAAUAAAUUUAGACAAGGUAACAAUUUUGUCCCAAUCUCUUUUACGAUAAAUGGGAGGGUGGUAAAGUAAGCUAGCUUUCAACCGGCAUGAUAUCAUUUCCCUCAAAACCUCUUUGUUUGUUGAAAAUUUUCUGUGUUUGCUUCAUUAUUAAUGAAAUUCUGUUUCUUAUGGAAAUCAAUUCUGUGUUUGGGGAUGUACUAUCUUCUGUGCUGAUGUGUUUGCCAUUGUUUUUCAGACUUCUUACUACGAUCAGACCGGUCUUUUCUUUCCAAUGUUUAAAAAACUGAUUAUUUUUAUUACUUUUUCCCUAAUGGAUUUAUCUUAGGUGGGAAAAUAUUUUUCAUCUAGAACAUCUAAUAGAGAUUUUCUUUAUUACUUCUUAUUUUGAUUGUAGUUGUUGGCAGUUUUUAGAAUUAUUUUCUUAUUUUCUUUUAUAUAUUUUCUAAUUUUCGGGUGUUGCAGCUUAUUGUGUGGUUGCAGAUGAAUCAGUAGGAAGACAGGUUCCCAUGGCUUUCCUGGAACGCAUCAGAGAUGACUUUGUUGCACGAUAUGGGGGUGAGAAGGCUGCCACAGCUCCUGCAAACAGCCUUAACAAGGAUUUUAGGUAUUCUUUUCUGAUUUAGAGAGACAUUUUGGUUGGAUUUUAUCUUAUAGUUGCUGAUAAGUGUCUUUGUUGCAGUUCAAAAUUGAAGGAACACAUGCAGUACUGUGUUGAUCAUCCCGAGGAGAUAAGCAAGCUUGCGAAGGUGAAAGAUCAGGUUUCAGAAGUUAAAGGUGUUAUGAUGGAGAAUAUUGAGAAGGUAAAGUUGCAUUGUUUGGCUACUUUUUAAGCGCUUUUUUCUUUGAGACCUCACUCAGAAUGUAAGAGACGAAGCCAACAAAGGGUUCACAUUUUUCCCUUCUUUAACCAAGCUCCAAAAAAUAAAACUAAGUAAGGAGAUUCAGACUAGCAUAUGAUUUUACUCUUUAUGGGUGUACAAGAUUCAACUGUCUUAAGGAUGCAAUGGGAGGGAUUAAGUGGCCUGUUCUGACCUGCUUCAACCUUAUGGGGAUGGGUUUUGGAUGGCUAUAACUGGAGUCAGGGUUGGGUAUGCCAUUUUUAUUACUGACCUGAGUUCACAACUAACCACAGAUCUAUAUGCCGAAAUGCCAUGUAAAGGACGAUGAAGUGAUAAUCUGUCCUUGUAACCUUUAUGCUUGGAUAAUCUCUGAUGCAUUUGUAUGCCAACUGUUAUUUUAUCCCUUGUUCAGGAACAUCAUGCACAUGAUAUUAACCCUGUGCCGUGUUGUAGGUUCUAGACAGAGGGGAAAAGAUAGAGCUUCUGGUGGAUAAGACUCAUAACCUUCAUGAACAGGUCAGUACUUUUCUCUUUCUCGCUGUCCAUCUAUUUGUCUUCAUCUGUGUUCACUGAUUCUGGAACUUAACACUUCUCUAUGAACUUCAACCGGUUAAUCUCCCUACCAAAUUUCACUAGAAGUGUAAUUUGGAGUUAACAACAAACUCUUAUUCAUGUUCAUGUGCCCAUUAAAAAAGAGACUUUGUGAAUUAGCUCCACACUCAUAUAUAUAUAUAUAUUGCAACCUUUGUUUUAUUAGCAAAAAAUUGGAUUACAGGGAAGAUGAGCAAGACAACAGUUAGGUAUCGGAACUAGGGUUUUUCUUUUAUAGGUAACCAAAAAGGCUAUAAAUACAUAUAAAGAAAUAGGUAUUGGGAACUAGGGUUAUGUACAACAGGGAAAUGAUAAUGAUAUUCUGAUAAAAAGAUUGGUAACAAAUAUGCCUUUACUAGCAUCCAAAGGUAUACAGUAUACUAUCAUGCUCAUCCAUCAGAUUUGUAAUGAAGUUAAUUUUGAUACAGGCACAAGAUUUUCGGAGUGCUGGAACCAAAAUCCGGCGGAAAAUGUGGCUGCAGAACAUGAAGAUCAAACUCAUUGUGUUGGGGAUUCUGGUAGCCUUGAUCCUCAUCAUAGUCCUCUCUGUCUGCCAUGGCUUCAACUGCGGGAAGUGAGCGGCGCUCCAUCUGCUGAUCUUGGUGUCCGGAGAAAUGCCCUAGCGUUUGUAGUAGAAGAACAAAAGUAAGCGACUCCCAGUUAAAAUCUGAACCAAAGACAAGUUAUUUUAGAGAGUAAUACAAACAACAUAUAUAUCGUGUCAUGUCAUUAUAACUGCAUUCAGAAAUAUGAAAUUGCUUGUUUGCAAACAAAUUUAGAAAAUGGAACUUGUUUUUGCUUCUCUUCAUAAACCUGCCGCCCAUCAUGCAGGCAGCUCAAAAUUUUUCGCAUUCUUUCCAUUCUUGUUCUCUUUCAAAAAGCAACGCUAAUGAGCUCAAUGCUCGAGCCUCAUUGCCAUGCAUUUAUAGAUACAAUGUCAUGAUUGUGGUGCAAUCCAUUAUCAUAUUAAGCAUAUUAUUUUACGAUUCCAUACUACGACCAACAAAAUUAAUAUAUUCGAAUCAUUGAAUAUAUAUAUGAAGAGAUCUAAAUCAUCAUUGUACAACGAAAUCAUUGAAUAUAUAUGAAGAGAUCUAAAUCGUGGUACAAGGUAAGAACAAAGGAUACAAACAUGAUUGGUAGUGCCAUCAUUCCAUAUGAUGGGAUAUUUUAUUUGGUUUUUCAAGGCUAAGUUGGGUGGGAAAUAAAUGGAAAUUAAAAAAAAAAAAUGGAUUUCAAAAUUUUUUUUUUUUUGUUUUAAAUUCAUUAUGUUUAAAUAAUUUUCACAAAUUUUUUUUAUUAUUAUUAAUAAAUAAAAGCUUAGAUUUUUUAGUUGUUUUUAUUAUAUUCGAAAUAUCUUAAAUCAUGGAAUUAAUGCGAAAAAGAUAGCGGCUGUCGUGAAUCGAACCUCGGCCGCCGUUUUUUUUUCCCAAGCGCUUUGCCAAGUUGCCAACCAGAUAUACCAACGUUGCAUCGUCUCUUUCACUCCCAGAGGAUUUGUUAUAUUCGAAGCUCCAAGCCCACUCCGACGACGUCGUUUUGGGAAGGGCAUCUUUAUCUUGGUCUUUUGAAUUUGGAAUUUUGGAGAUUGUGAUUUUGCCAAGAAACUCUCUUCCCUCCUCUGCAAACCCCAUUCUUCAUUCCGACCCUAAACCCUAACCUCGGACCCUUAGCUUCUGCUGCUUCUCCCAUUCUGAAUGUCACCCUCUCCCGCUUUUUCGGCAAUUCCAUGUUGCCCAACCUCGAUUUUUUCUCCUUCUCGUUUCCGCUGUGUUUCCUCUCCUCCACUUCUGCAUUCCAGUUUAACCCACUAGGAAUCUCGGUUUUGGGCUCUAUGUACGUGCUCGGAUCGGGGAAACCAGGCAGCCAUGUCGGAAUGUGGGGGCUCUGUUUUGAAUUCGAUGGGUUUUGCGGCAACGGUAGAUUUUGGGAGAGGUUGGAGCGGCGGGGGAGGGGCUUGGCGAAUGGGAUUUCGCAGCGGGAGUAGACGAAUUUGAUGAGGUCAAGAAGAGGGCUCGAUGCGAGGAGGCAGCCGUUGGGGUUGGAGGCGCCGGCGAAGCCUUGGUCGGAGGAGAGGUGUUCGAGGGCGUGGACGACGUCGUAGAUAUUGGAUUGCGUGCGACCGGAGGAGGCGGCCCGUGAGGAGGCGGAUUUGGCGAGGGUUUGGAGAUAGAGUGUGGUGAUUCUAGUAAUUGUUUCGAGGGCGGAGGAUUGGGCGGUUCUGAAGCCUGCAGAUUGACAGAUCUGAGCCACUGCUACCUUCGUGAUAGCGAAUGAGAACUCGGACGGCCCUAGGGUUUCUAGGGUCUCCGAUUCCAUGUUCAUUGUCUGCAAAAACACAACUUUAGACAUGUAAGAACCUUAGAACCCUAGCCUGUUUAAAAGGAGCUCGUAAACUUUAUUACUGUAAUUAUUUUUUACAUUUAAUCUCUUAUUUAUUUAUUUAUUCUUAAUUAAAGAAACAUGAGAUAAAUACAUCAACUGAUGGUGACUUUUGUUUUUUGUUUUUUUUAUUUAAUUAAUUUUCUUUGUAAAAAAAUAAAAUAGAAAUAAAAAAAAAGCAUAAAAUCCUACUUUGGGUCCACUAUAAAUUUAUAAAUUUGUAAAGAUUAAUUCAAUUACAAUUUAAUUUUUUUUUUAAUUUUCAGUAAAUAAAUAAAAACUUCAGUCCACGCAAGUCUUAUAAAACAAUUUUUGAAAACUGUUUUUUAAAAAACAAUUUUUAUGACAUAUUUUUGUGUGUUUUUGGAAAUAAAAUUAUAUUUAAUAAUUAAAUUUUGGAAAAAAAAAAUAUUCUAAGAAAAACAUGUUUUUGAGUUAAUAAAAAAGAUAUAAUUGAAAUUUAAAAUUAAGUAAGAACAAUUGAAAAAAAUAUACAAAAGUCUCAUCAAAUAAGAAAGUGUGAGUCAAAUUUCACCGAACAAACCAAACCAAUAUAUUCCCUUUCGUGUGUAUAUUUAAAUUAAUUAGUAUAUAAGAAAGUGAUAGACUUCAUGACUUCACAUGUCAGAUCACAUCUCUUGCUGUGAUUCCAGGUUGGAUUUCGUUGAUGGGUGGAAUUGGGGAAAGAAAGGGAGAGGGGGUAGGGUUUCCAGUGAAUAUUUUGAUGAUAACUAUGCCGAUAAAGAGGGUGACAACAGCGGGAAGAAGACGAGGACAAAGAAUGCGAGAACAUGGAGAAGAACUUUGGGAAAAACAUGAAGAACAAAUAUGCUCUUUUUGUUCUCUAAACAAUACAAAAAAACAAGCAAAACAAGUUUUUUUAUUCUCUAAAAAGAAGAAUUUUGAUAAUAUUGGGACACGAAAAACAAAAAUCAUUUUCUUUACCAAACAAGUUUUCACUGUUUUUUAUUUUUAAAAACAUAAAACAUUUCUUGAAAACACUAACCAAACGUAAUAUUUGAUUUUCUUUAUUCGAAUUUUGGAUAUACUUAUUCUAAUAUGGAAAUAUUUUAUUUUGAAUAUUAUAAUAUUGAGACUAUAUGUUGUUUUUGUUAAAUCUUAUAAAAUAUAUGUAAUAUUUCAUAUGAUUUUGUUCGAUAUUGACAUAUUUUAAAAUUUUUGGAGAUUUAAGAUUGAUGGAAUAAUACUAUUUCGAUUUUAUGACUUGAGUGUAAAAAAAAAAUUUUAGUUUUAAUAUACAUAUUUUAAUAUCAUGCUUGGUGAAAAAUAGAGAUUUUAUUUUGAUAUAUUUGAAAUAUAUGAAAACUUGAACAAAUAUAGUUGAGAAUCAUGCGAACUAUCUUUCAUUAAAGACAAUCGAUGAUAUAUGAAAACAAUGUUGUAUUGUAUUGCUCAGGCUCAUUUACACUUAAAAGCUUUAGAAGAGUAGUAAAAUUAUUACUUAAUGUGUAAGAUCAAAUGACAAUUUAACAAACUUAUUCAUAAAAGCAUUGUCGACAUUGAAAAAACUCGAAUAUAAUAUUGAAAUGCAAUGAUUCAAAAACCUUUACGGUAAACUAUUAAAGAAUAUAACUAUGUCAACAUAAGGAAAGGAAAUCAAUGAGAACAUCACUGUAAAAAUGAUUGUCAUUUGAUGGGAGUGUCAUAAAUUUUUAUAAUAGCUUAUGAAUUACAACAAUAUUAUCCUUUAGCAUAUAAAUAAGGAUUUUAUGAUUUAAUAAAAGAGAUUGAAAUUUAUUAUCCCCUUAUUUUGUUCUUUUAAUUUUUUUAAGAAAAUUUUCAUAAUAAAUAAUUUAUUUUCACUUUUAUUUUUAACAUUUGAUAACAAAACUAUAUUAAAAAAAAAGUUGGUUUAAAAGAAAUUUUUAUUCCAAUUUUUUCUUGGAAUAAAAAUUAUAAUUUUAAAAUUAUAAAAAAUUAAUCAAUCCUAUUUAAAAUUAUAAAUUUUUAAUGUUUAUUAUUCAAUCACUACUAUAUUUUUUCUUGAUUUAAAAAAACUAAGACUAUUAAACAUAUUUAAUAUUAUAAAUAUUAAAAUUUAUAUUUUAAAUAAACCGUGAAAAGUAUUUAGAUUUUCCCUCUUAAAAUAAAAGUAUAAAAAACAAGAAGUCGUCCCCAAAAGCCCUGUUCUUCCUUAAACCCCUUAAAACCUCUCUCAAAAUCGAAAAUUGCUCCGAUUCUAGUUCCACGAAGAAGGGCUUUUAGAUUUCACAGUUGCAAUCAAGGGUUUCACCUUCUUUCUGGUGGGUUUAGCUGCAGAUGUCUCUUUGCUUUUCUUCAAGCCUCUCUCUUCCGCAGCCGUCUUUCUUUUCUGUAAGAGAAUAUUUCAUUUAUCACAUACAUGUAUGUGUAAUUCAGUAAAUUUUGUGUUUGAAUUUGAACAACGGAUAAUACUACUGUUGUAGAAUCUGAACGGGGAGCAAAGGGUUUGUGGGUUAUGGAGAAAUCCGCGGAUUUUUAGGAGUUUGCGGGUCAGAGCUGGCCCCAAGAGGAUAUCUUUUGACAGAGAAUGUAGGGAGGGCUUACAAGCUGGGAUAGAUAAGCUUGCUGAUGCUGUUUCUCUUACCUUAGGACCCAAAGGUUUCAGAUGCCUUAAUUGGUUUCUCUUUUUUCUUUUUCAUGUCAAUGAAUGUAUGCUUACAGAGACUUAUAAAAAAAAAAAAAGAAUGUAUGCUUAUAGAGAAUUUCUUGAUUGGUUUUAGCUUAAAUCCUGCAGGACGUAAUGUGAUUCUUUCUGAGGCCGGAACAUUAAAAGUGAUCAAUGAUGGGGUGACAAUUGCUCGGGCUAUAGAGCUUUCGGAUGCAAUUGAAAACGCAGGAGCAACGCUUAUGCAAGAGGUCAUUCAGGGUCCUUAGAUGUUUCUUUUACCUAACCAGUUUAUUUGGCAUAAAUUUGUUUGAACGUCGUUUGAAUGUGUACCUAAUUGUUUGUAUGUUGUUAACAGGUUGCAAGUAAGACAAAUGAUGUGGCAGGUGAUGGUACUACGACUGCUAUCAUUUUGGCUCGGGAAAUGAUCAAGUCUGGUUUGUUGGUGGUCGCUUUUGGAGCUAACCCAAUUGGUUUGAAGAAAGGAAUGGAUAAGACUGUGAGAGAAUUGGUCAAGGUUUUGAAGAAGAAAAGCUUUCCUGUAAAAGGGAGGGAUGAUAUAAGAGGUUGGAUACAUCUAUUUGUUUGAAUUUUUUUAGAAAUUGCAACAUGUUAAUCAAAGGAAAUCUUGAAAUGCCUUUACUAUCUGCAGCUGUGGCCUCAAUUUCUGCUGGAAAUGAUGACUUCGUUGGGAAUUUAAUUGCUGAAGCUAUAGAUAAAAUUGGCCCUGAUGGAGUAAUCUCCAUUGAAUCAUCCUCAUCGUCUGAAACCUCUGUUAUAAUUGAAGAAGGAAUGAAGGUGAGUCACAUUAAGAUAUUUCUUAGUUAGAUAGUUCUUUAACAACUUUUGAAGACAACAUAUUGUAGGGGGGCCUAAUGGUUCUGGCAAGAUUUUAAAUUUUGGUUUGGCAUUAAUUCUGGUAUUGGUCUAGAUGUGAAAACAUAUUGCAAAGUUUUUGAAUUCAUUGAAAUGAGAAAUUUGUUUAGAAAUGGGUCUGAAUUUGUCUGAAUCUUUAUAAAAUAAAUAAAAAAAAAAUAAAAUUGUUUGAAUCUUGAAAUGGCUUGAAAUUCAAAGAAAACUACAACCUUUAUGAUGCUUGCCAAAGAUUGAAACCUUGGGCAUGGGAAGUCACAAUAGUGCUAGAUAGAUCGCAAGGCCUAAAGCUUGCCUCUGAUGGACGAUGAUUUUAUUUUAUUUUAUAUAUAUAUAUAUUUUAAUUUUAAAUUUAUAUUUUUAAUCAGCCUCUGGUGGAUGCACUGUGUGCAAACUUCUUUUCAGACUUUUAAUUCUAGUUUUAUAAGCAUCCAAAAGAAUGUAUAGAGUUUGUAAGCUUAACUUAAUCUUGAUUUCCUCAUUUGUGAAAUAUUGUUCAUUUUUAUUUAUUAUUACUAUUGCUGUCUAACGAUUCUAUUCUAACAUUGUUUCCAUACAGAUCGACAAAGGUUAUAUGUCACCCCACUUUAUCACAAACCAGGACAAAUCUAUUGUGGAGUUCGAGAAUGCUAAAGUUCUUGUAACUGAUCAAAAGAUUUCAACCAUCAAAGGAAUAGUUCCUUUACUGGAAAAGACUACCCAACUGAGUGUCCCACUGCUAAUCAUUGCUGAGGACAUCUCAAGUCAAGUACUUGAAACACUGGUUGUGAACAAAAUGCAAGGAAUAAUUAAUGUUGCUGUGGUCAAAUGUCCAGGAUUUGGAGAAGGAAAGAAAGCUUUAUUGCAAGAUAUAGCCCUUUUGACAGGUGGCUUACUAAUGCAUUGCAAUCUUAAUUUGUCAAUUUGGUUGGCUUUUUGUUUUUUUGUUUGUUUGUUUUUCCUUUUUUUUUUUAAUAUAAAACUGAUAUUGAGUAACGGGAUUGUCUUCUUCACCCUAAAAAUCUCAUGUGUGUGUGUGUGCGUGCACACAUGUCUUGAUGAGUUAUAUUUGAUUUCAAAGGCUACUUUGAUAACCAGAAAAUUCUAUGAUAAUGACAAAGGUUUUAUUAUCACUUGAUAUGAACUUCAAAAUAUUUUGCAGUAGCUCUGAUUGUGCAUCUGUCUUGUGAAUUUAUAUUUUGGUUUCAAAGAACACUUGGAUAACAAAGAAAGUCUAUGAUAAUGACCCAGGUCUUAUUAUCACUUGAAGAUAUUAUUUUCCUUUUCCUUCCUGAAGGUUGUGAAAGAAAUAGUUUCCUCUCCCAGUGCAAGGAUUGUUGAGUUGAAAUCCGUUGCCAUUGUUUAAGUAACAUCCAUAAAGAAUACUCAUCUAACAGACCAUGCAUGUAAAUGCCAUUAAAUGGUUUAUCUGGAUCACAUGUUAAAAAAAUGCUAUUGUAAACAUCCCUGAAAUCUUAAUGAUUAAUGGUUUAGAAAUAUGAGCACAACCAUAUGCUUGCUUUUGAAAACCAUAUGGUAUUCUUUUAUCAUGCGAUGUGGUACUUCCACAUAAUCUAACUAUAUAUGCACUAUGCAUUCUUAUUGACACCAUUGUAAUGUAAUUAGGUGCUGAUUUCCUCUCUGGAGAUUUGGGACUGACUCUUGACAGUGCAACGUCAGAUCAGCUUGGCAUUGCAAGAAAAGUAACCAUAACAAGCAAUUCAACAACCUUUGUUGCUGAUCCUUCAACUAAACCUGAAAUACAGGCAAGAAUUUUGCAGAUAAAGAAAGAUCUCGCUGAAACUGAUAGUUCGUAUCUUUCAAGGAAGCUCUCUGAAAGGAUUGCUAAACUCUCUGGUGGUGUGGCCAUAAUCAAGGUCUGCUAUACUUAAACCUAUACGGCAGAGAGAACUUAAUGCAUUAACUGUGUGAUGUAAUUUCUGCUGCAACCUUGAGUUGGCUUGAGUAAUUUUUCUUUAGUUCAUGCAAGACUUUUGAGCUGUAAAGAAGGUUUCAUAUUUUAUCUGCCUACAUUUCAAAUCAGGUAGAGAUUAAGACAAAAUCCAAACUCUUUGUAGGGUUUUUGAGAUUUCGUUUAGAAUACUGGAAAUUUUAAUUUGAACUUGGUCAAAAUUUUGAAAUGUUGAAGUUUUUGAAUGGCUCAAAGUUUAGACGGAAUAUCAUACUUGAAACUUUGUCAAAUUUACCAGACAUGGUGGCCUUAAGGCUAUGUUCGGUUGCCGGAAAGUUCGAGGAAAAGAAAAUGGAGAGGAAAAAUAUAGGGAAAGAAAGUAAAGAAAAUAUUGAAAUCUUUUUCUUGUUUGGUUUUCUAUAGAAAAGUUGAAAGAAAGAAAAUUAAAUUAUUGAGGAAUGUUAUUUCUCCAAACUUUCCUCACCUUUAUCUUAGGAAAAUGGGAAGGAAAAUCUUUUAACAUUUUUCCUCCUCUUUUUCCAUAGUUUUUUUUUCCUUACCUUUUUUCAUGACAUCCAAAAAUAAGAAUAUUAUUUUCCUUAAUUUUUUCCCUUAGUAUUUUCGGGAAACCAAACAUAGCCUAAAUGUUGCCAUAUUAUUCGAGUGAAGUAGAUCAACAUGGAAGUAAGACGCUUAACACAAUGUGUUGAAGUGAUUAUCAGAAGGAUGACUGGUAGCUAUAUAUUAUAAAGAUACAUAAUAAAUAAGUGACUUGAAUUUGAAGUGUGGAUCUUUAACCACACGAUAUCUCUUUUACAUUGCUAAGCAGAGUGUGUGGAUUUAGGUAGGAGCACAUACAGAGACGGAACUCGAAGAUCGGAAACUCAGAAUUGAGGAUGCAAAGAAUGCAACGUUUGCUGCCAUGGAUGAAGGUAUAGUACCUGGUGGUGGGGCUACCUAUAUUCAUCUGGAAGAACAGAUACCCAUCAUAAAGCACUCCAUGGAAGAUCCGGACGAGCAGAUUGGUGCUGACAUUGUGGCAAAGGUAUGUUGUCAUUUUCCUUUUUCCUUUUUCCUUUUCCUGGAUUAUAUUUUCUACAUUUGUCCAUUCCUACUCCAAUAAGCAAAAUACUAUCCCAACUGAUUGGCGUCUUCUAAUCAAAUCCACCAUCCAUUGUCUUAUUUAGGGUUGUUUCUUUGGUUAAUUCAUUUGCCAUUUGGUCCCUUACUGGAUCUUUAAUUGCAUAGCAUCGUCAAUUUUGUUCAUCAUCCUUUUCCUCCUAUCGAAUGCUUACAAGUCACGAUAUCUGGUCAGGAAUGGUUUGAGGACAACUAAAACACCGAAUAAAUGAUUUGUGCUAGGUUAAACUUCACCGCCCGGAAUUGAUAUUUCUUCUUUCCAUUGUUAAAUCCCAUUGUUUCCACCAGCUAUGGGAUUGAAGUUGAUUUGUUGCAAGUGUUCCAGGUGAAAUAAGUAUGCAUGAAUGUUUUUAUUUGAAAUGAAAAAGGAACCCCGAGAUUUCAUCAAACACCGACGUUUUGUUAGAUAACAAAGUUGUUGAGAUUAUACUAUCAUAUUUGAGAUGGCUUAACCAGCCCAGUUACCCCAAACGGUCUUGUGCAAAUGUAUGGCUUUAGUGUUUAGACAUUUCAUCAUCUUUUUCACAUCUAAAACCCUGGUUGGUCGAGUUUCAGGCACUUGCUGCACCAGCCAAAGCAAUUGCAACUAAUGCAGGAGUUGAUGGAGCUGUUGUCAUAGAGAAGAUCCGGACUUGUGACUGGAGAACAGGGUAUGAUGCAAUGACGGGUAGAUACCAAGAUCUUCUCAAUGCUGGAGUGGUUGAUCCCUGUCGGGUCUCAAGGUGUGCCCUUCAAAAUGCAGUAUCUGUUGCUGGCAUUGUUCUAACAACCCAAGCUGUAUUGGUGGAGAAAACAAAGCCGCCCAAGUCAGCAGUUCCUCGUCUCCCUGGAAUAACUCCUUAAACAGCAGAGUAGAAGAACAAGAAGCAGAAAUUCAUGGAGAGCCAGACCAGAGCUGAGAAGGUAGCCCCCCAACUAAGCUACAUGCUUUUCAUUUGACUGAAUUUUUGCCUUGUCAAGUUAGCUUCAUUUGGAGUGAAAAUCAGGGCAAGCAAGACAAUGAAGAAACAAAGCCAAGUAAGUCCACAUUGUCUUCCAUGGAACAGAACCCUCCAACUUCAAGUGGCUUGAUUUGGAGUUAAAGACGAAGCUGAGGAAAACCCCAUGGAAUUCAGGUUUUUUUAUCGGAAUACCCUGAUUGAGAGGAAUAAUGGAAUGCCAUUUUUUGAUGAAAGAUUGUGUUUGUGUUUGGUACUUGUCUCACUGAACAUAUGAUCAAUGGGCAAUCAUUCUCUGAAAUGUUGUUCACUUUUUGAAUAUAUGAUAAAUGACAUGUCAUUAGGGUUUAUUCAUAUUUGUGAGUUUGUAAUGUUAACACUAUAAGCUCUAUUGGGCAGCCUGCCGCAGGUCAGCUGGUCAAAGCUCAAAAGGCUCAAGCUCUUUCUACAAGUGUUUUGGAAAAUUUUGCUGUUGUUGUAUCGCGGUUUACAUACUGUAUUGAAUUAAGAGUUCGUUUGAAAAUGUUUUUUAAAAAUAUUAACAAAUUAAAAAAGAACUUUUAUAAAUAUUAGGUUUGUUCCAUGUGCAAGGCACAUGAACUACUAACUAAUAGCGUAUAUUUUUAUAUUUAAAUUCGGUUUUAAUAAUUUUCAUUUAUUUUAUGAUUGUGUUUUAAUUUAUUUUAUUUUAAAAUAUUUAUAUUUAUUAAAUGAUUAUAUUAUUAGUUAAAAUCAUAUUUGUAUUCUUCGAGAGAAGAUUAAAUUUUAUUCAUUCUUUUGAAAAGAAAUAAUCUUUCAAAUUGUAAUAUAAUAAUAUACAAUCUAAAUCAAAAUUGCAAAUAAGUUUUAUAAUAAAUUAAUAAAUUAUUUAUUUAUUUUUAGUAAUAUUUUAAUUUUGUUCAAAACUGAAAUUAAGUCUUAUUAUAAUUUAAUAAAUUUAUUAUUUAUUUUCUAUAUUUCUUCUUAUUCUUAUUUUUUUCCUUUCUUUAUUAGUAAAUUCAAAUAUAAACUCAAAUACAUAAUAAUUGUUUAAAAAUAUUGAAAUUAGAAGGAUUAUGACAUCUUCAUUCAUAGGUUCUAGUAUUAGUAUUUUGAAUAAAAAAAUUAAUAUUAAAUAGAAAAUAAUUAAUUAUUUUUAUUAACUUAAUUAAUAAUCAAUAAUAUAAUUAUACUUAAUUUAAUUUAUUCUUUAUUAUUUAAUGGACAAGCAUAUUUGUUGAAGUUUGAAAACUAAAAUAAUAAUCUUAUUUAAACAAAAUUUCCAACUCUUAUAAAAUUUAAAAAAAUAUAUAUAUAUAUAUAUAUAUAAUUUUAUUUUAAAAUGUAUGAAAUAAAAGUGAAAAUUUCUAUAAAUAUUGAAAAAAAAAAACUUAGUUUUGUAACCCAUAUUACAAUUAGAAAAUAUAAUUUUCCUAGCCGUUAGGUUUUUUUUAUUAAGAUUUUAUAUUGAUGGGUGUCUUUUUAUGGGGAGCGGUCUCGGUUGAGAAGACUCGGGUUGGGUAGAUGGGUAUCGGAUCGAGUUGAAAAGAAUUCGGGCCAACUCCAAAACCCUAACCCGGGUCCCAGCCUUGGUUCCUCUGGGGUGUUCCAGAAAGCAACCUUUGUUUAUUUAUUUUUCUUUUUGCUUGAUUCCUUGAUUGUUUCGUUGAUUUUGGUCCAAAAUUGAAGCAGAAUGGAAAAAUCAGGAGAGCAAAUGGUGGAUGUGAGGUCGGUGGUCGAAGCCAUUUCGACUGAUAAUGAAGAUGCACCUUUGUACCAGGUUGAGAGCCUCUGCAUGCGCUGCACCCAAAACGUAUGUGCUUUCUUUUUUCUCAUUCUCUCUGUAUAUUAUUUGUUUAGUUUCUUUUUUGGUAUCAGUCUGUAAAAGUUGUGGAUAAAUGCUAAAGAAGAUGACUUGUUUGCUAGUUUUUUCUGAAACCCAACUUGUUUAUUGUUAACAGGGAACAACAAGGUUUUUGUUUACUGAAAUUCCACACUUCAGAAAGGUGCGUCCCUCAAUUUGCCUCCUUAUGAUUUUUUUUUUCUUUUAUUUUCUGUACAAGGGUUUCUAAAAGAAGCGCACUUUUGGGCUUUUAUGACUGUGUUUCUUUAAGCUGUGAAGUAAGUUUAGUUUUUAUUCUCUGGUCCUGAAAUUCUCUUUGCAGAUAUUGUUGUCAGCCUUUGAAUGCCCACAUUGUGGUGAGAGGUAAACUAAAAUUUUCAUUAAGGCUGUGAGGGUUUCAAAUUAUAUAGAUCAAUUGAAAUUUGGCCUUUUAUAAGAGAUUUAAUCUAUUGUUGUUGUUUUUCCCUCAGGAACAAUGAAGUUCAGUUUGCUGGUGAAUUACAACCCAGAGGGUGUUCUUACAGUCUGCAUUUUUCAGCGGGUGAUCAGAAGGUUGUGUCAGCUUGAAUGAAAUAUCUAUGAGAUGUUAUUCCACGGUUAUGUUCAUUUGUAUAAAGAUCUUUGAGAUGUUUAUGAGUGUCUAUGCAUUUAUAUGUAAAUUAACUUGGUUCUCUCUCUCUUGCUCUCUCCCCUAUCCCUGCCUUUCUUAUUGUUAACCAUCUUUGUUAUUGUUGUCCUUCUUCACCCACUGUUGGAAUCUUUAAUUCACAUUUGCUCAUCUCUUCUCAAUGACACUUAAUCAAUAAGCAUUCCCUUAUUUUAUUGCCCCUCAGUGCUUUUUCUUUUGUGCAAGUAACUUUAUUUGUUUCUAGUCUUUUACACAAGAAGCUCUUGAAAACUCAUCUUUCUUUCAUUGGUUCUGUUUAAUUUUCAUCAUGGAGCAGACUUGCAUUUUUCUUUUUAUUGAGCUUUUUUUGCAUAAGAGCUUGUUUUCCUCUACUCUAAUGUGCAUGUGAAUUAUUUUGAGUUUUUUUUUUUCUCUCUCUCUCUUUCUGUGGUGUAUUUGUUUUUCAUAGCUGGUGAAGAACAAUAUGUUUUAUUUAGAUAUGAGUGUUAGACUAAUGGGUUUCUGCAAUACAGAUGCUCAACCGACAGGUAGUGAAAUCAGAAUCUGCCACUAUCAAGGUACUUUGUAGUUUUUCCUGCUUACUUUGAAAAAUGAGUUCUCAUGCUUUUUUAACAGUUAUCAUAUGUUACAAGUUUUAAAACUUCUUUUCUUGUAUUGGAAUUUUAAUUCCUGUUGUUUUUAGUUUCAUAUUAAAUGAACUAACCAGCACUGGCAUAGUGAGUUAGAAUUUAGGAUACUGAUGAGAACGUAGGAGACCGUGCCUCCUUGAGAAUCUGAAGGUGAGGUGAUAAACUGACAUAUUCCAAUGUUUACAUGGAUUCUGAUCUUUCCUUCUUCCUUGCAUCAGUACCCCUGGUAGAUUGCCAUUAAUUGUAAGAGUACAAAACCAUCAGAACCGAGUAUUUUCUAUUUAUGUUUGAUUGCUCCUGUGCUUCAGCAGUUUUCCUUUACAUAAGGACUCAUGGUUGCUAGGGUUUUUUCAAUGACAAAGUAGGGGAUAAAUUUUUCCUUCUGAACAUCACUAAACUUGGCUUGCUGGAGCAAAACCGUGACAUGUACUAGAUUGCAAUCCAGAUCCCAAAUCUCUAGUAUAAUACCGUUUUAUGGUUAGGCUCUAUUGUACAUGUUGAUGAAAUUUAGGCCUAAUAUUCCUUUUGACCAAUGUUUUAAAAGGCCAAAGGUGGACUUGAGGUGUUUUGCCUAAAUGAGGCAAGACAUAAGCCUCAAGUUGGAACAAGGCAUAAGCCUUAACUUAAACAAAAAGAAAUAAUAAAAGGAAACAGGAGUUUAAAAAAUGAAAAGUACUAUAAAAUCACUUAUCAAAACAAAAAAAAAACCUAAUAAAAUCAUAUGAAAUUUGAAUAAUAGGAAAUCAUACAAUUCAUAAUUAUCAAAUUAGUUGUUUGCCAUUGUUAGUAAUUUUUAAUUUUGUUGACGAGAGACAAAAGUUUUGAUGUAGUAUCAAUAGCCAAUGAAAUGGUGGAUCAACAAAGAUGGUCAGAAGAGGAUGGUGCAGUUUUUAAGAUUUAUUUUGAAAAGACUUAUGAUCAUGUGUUUUGAGGCUUUUUGGAUCAAGCAUUAGAAAGAAAGGGAUUCAGUACUAGAUGGAGGUCUUGGUUGAGGGGUUUCUUGUCUUUAACAAAUUUUGGGGUAACUUGAGAUUUUAGACAAGGAGAGAUCCUUUUUCAUUUUUUCCUUUACCAUUGUAACUAAUGUCUUAAGCAAGAUAAUGUUGAAAACAAAUGAGAGUGGUACCUUGGAAGGUUUCCUAGUAGGAUGGAGUAGAAGUAGAGUGUCACAUUUGCAGUUUGUAGAUGAUACCAUCUUUUCUUCAAGAGUUAGCAUGGAAGAUUUGUAAAACCUAAGCUAAUCUUGAUGGUUUUUAGGCAUAUUUCAGGACUUUAGAUUAAUUUAGAUGAGCAUUUUUUUCUAGUAUCAAUAUGAGCUAGGAUCGGAUUACUAGAUCGAGAAAAUAAAAGGAAUUUUCUUUGCUCAAGUUUUGAGGAGGGAAAAAAAGAUCAUCUCCUUAGUUGGAAUCUAGUGUGCAAGCCUAACAUGGAAAGGGGUUUAGGGUGGGAAGAUUUCAUUAGGGAAUAGAAUCCACUUAGAGAAGUGGGUUUGGAGGUUUUCUAGGGAAAAUGUUGUUCUUUGGCAUAAGAUAAUAUUGAGUAUGAAUAGGACACGCUUCAAUGGCUAUGGUGCCAACGUUCUAGUUAGGUGGACACAUCAAUGCCCUUAGAAGGCGAUUGCAUAGGUUUUAUAAGAUUUCUCUAGACAUACUCAUUUUGUGGUGGGUGAUGAGUCAAGGAUUCGUUUUUGGUAAGACUUGUUUGGGGGGGGAAUCAAUUUCUAUGCUCUCAAUUUUCAAAUCUUUCAAGAGUCAUGAUAGUUAGAAAUACUUCUAUUUCAUUUAUCCUUGGUAUCUCUUUUCAUUUUUCUUAGAUCAUUAACUUUUGUUGUAACCUUAUUGAUUUGAAAAUAAAGAACAACCUUGAAAGAUUUAUGUCCUUUCUCUCUCAGGCACUUGUCACUAUUUGUCCUUAACGUGAGAGUUUGGUCAUUGUCUUUUUUAGGCUUAUUUAUAGUGCAAUCUUGCCUUUUAGUUUGGUUCAAUCUAUAAACUCCUAUUCAUUUCUCUCUAGCUAAAUUUAUAUGGAAUUGUAAAAAUCUCAUCUAAGGUCAAGACCUUUGCAUGAUUAGUGGCUAAUAGGGUGAUACUAAUGACUUGUUAUAGGUGAGAAGAUCUUACUAAGCCCUUUGUUCUGAUUGUUUCAUUGUAUGUAUGGAGAGUGGAGAAUUAAUUGAUCAUAUUUUUUUUGGACUGUUUGAUGACUUUGGGGCCAUGGCGUAGGCUAUUUAGACUAGCAAGGAUAGAUUGGGUUCCUCCUAGGAGCAUAAGUGACAUGAUGACCAUUUCAUUUUAGGGUUUAGGGAGUAUGGUUAGAGGCAAAAUUCUAUAGCAAGUUGCUUGCCUCACUCUGAUUUAGAUAAGUAUGGUGGGAAAGAAAUUCAAGGAUUUUGUGGAUAGGUGGAGAACUAUAGAGUUGAUAUGGGAGGUAAUUUAUUUAUAUUCCUCCUUUUCGGCCUCAACAAUUAUUACUUUCAAAGGCAAUCUUCUCAAUGUUUUUUAGCUUAAUUGGAAUUUUGUGUGUCGAUCAAAAGGGUUAAAAUGACAAAGUGUGGAAGUGGAGCAAAAGCUUUGAUUUCUUUUUGUAGAUGUAUUGAUCUCUAUAAAGAGUAGAGUCACUUUUUCUUUGUUUAGUGGCAUGUGGUACUAUAUUGAAGUAUGUCUUGUUUGUAUGUUCUUUUGAUUAGAGUGUGUUUAUUUGGGAAGGAUUCUUCAUUCUUUACAUUUACUUUUAAAUCCUUAUCAAUUAAUAUUUUGUUUCUGAUAAAAAAAAAAAAAAGUUUCUAAUUUAGUUUCACUUUCUUUAUUUUAAAAUCCAACUCUCUCUCAUGCCUUCAUCAAAUAAUCUUAAGCACUACCGUUACUAUCACUAGUAGGAUCCUCUAAGGAAUCAUAAUAAUAUCCAAUUGCUUUUUUAUCCUCCUCAUCAAUGUUGAUGUCCACCUAUUCUACUUCUUUAUCGACCAAUUGCACUGGUCUUUUUCCUUUAUUUAUCAAUAAUAAGAUAAUAAUUAUAUAUGUACUCAGCCAUUAUAGUGGUCAACAAUUCCUUUAUUUUUUUCUUCUCAAUCAUUUUUUUCUAGCUAACUAAGUUCUUACUUUGUAAAAGGCUUAACCUUAGUUAUGGACCCAAUAACAAAACUUGUAAAUCUAUGCCCACAGCACAAACCAUUGAAUAUAGAGGUUUAAACCUCUUAUAAAGUACAUAUCAAAAGCCCAUAAAGGCCCUAAAUCAAUUAAAACCCUUUGCAUAUUUGAAGCUUAAGCCUUAAUAGCCUUAGGGCUAUACUUAAGGUUGUAAGUCACAAUGAAGUGAGGCUUAAGCCUUGAUGACCCUAUAUUGAGGCUACAACCCUCAAGGUUAAUUUGCAUAUCGUUGACUUGAGGCAAGUCUUGGGGCAUAAUCCUCAAUAGCUUUUUAAAACAUUGCUUUUGACAAAUUAUAUUGAAAAGGAGAUAGGAAAAGGUCCAUGUUCAAGGGAAGUAUAGAAAAGAGAGCUUUUAACUAAAAGGUGGCUACUAUUCCUCUUUUUAAACUAAUGGACUAAAAAUUGAAGAUGGGAAUUUUAUAAAUUGAAAUUGGAUUUUGGUUUCUUUCUUAUUGAUGCUUUGUAUUUAUUCAGGAUAAGAGUUGGGAAUUUUGAGAGUCCCAUUGGUUGGAGGCUGUUUGCCAAGUACAUGAUAGUUCCAUUUGCUGACUGUGAGAUGUUGGGUAAAAGCAGAUAAAAUAUAUUUGAAGAAUCGUUCGCAAAUGACCAAAAGAAAUAAAAGGAAAACCCAAAAGCAAGGCAAAUAAGCAUGAACAUGAAAAUGAAGGGACUGCUUAGCUUUAGUUUGGGGUUAAGAGCUUCAUUACAGAAUUUUGAUCUCAGGUUUGUCCUAUUUUUAUGGACAUUUUUUUGCAUUGAAAGAAUGCUUUCUCAGGAUUGCUAACCCAUUGUAUAAUUUUGUCAAGUCCUGUUGGAUUUUUUGGGAAGACUUGUGGAUGGGGAAUCAACCUUUGGCUUUGCAAUUUCCGAAACUUACCAGGUUUCAUCAGUUUGAAAUUCUUCUAUUUCCAUCUAUCCUUGGACUUUCUCUUCUUCUUUCUUAGAAUUUUAACUUUCAAUGAAACCUCACUAGUUUUAGAGAUAAAGGAUCUCGAAAGACUCAUGUCCAUUCUCAAUAGUAUUAACCCACUACCAUAAUCCCUAGAUGUGAGAGCUUGGUCUUUUGACCUUUUGGCUUAUUUUUGGUCAAAUCUUUUUUCCUAUCUUUAUCAAAUCAAUCUACUUCAGCUCUCGUCUCCUUCUAAUCUCAUUUGGAAAUCAAAAGGCCCAUCAAAGGUCAAGGCCUUUGCUUGGUUAGUAGCCAAUUAAUACCAAUGAUGUGCUUCAAGUAAGAAGACCUUUCAAAGCCCUUAGUCCAGAUUGUUGCACUCUAUGUAUGAGCCAUGGAGAAUCGAUAGAUCACCUUUUUUUGGACUGUUCAAUGACUAUAGAGUUGUGGUAUAAGUUUUUAAGACUGGCCAACUUGGUUUGGGUUCCUUUUAGAAGUGUAUGUGACAUAUUAACCAUUUCUUUUGGGGGUUGGGGAGCAUGGAUAGGGGCAAAGAUCUAUAGCACAAUGCUUAUCUUACUUGAUUCAAAUAGUAUAGCGGGAAAGAAAUGGAAGGAUCUUUGCGGACAUUGAAAAUGUUAUGGGGCAUAGUCUAUUUCUAUUCAUCAUUUUGGGCAUCUACUACUAUAGCUUUCAAAGGCAUUCCUCUCAACUUUAUUAACUCGAUUGAAUUUCGAUAUGUAGUUCAAGAGUGUCAAAAGAGUAAUGUUGAGAUGUUUUAAUGUCUCUUGAUUCUUUUUUCUUUUCCUUUUGUUUUGUUCAGGUUUGUCAUUAGGUAAGAAUUUCUCAUCCUUCUCAAUGUUACUUUGUUAAUGAAAAUGCUUUUGUUUCUGAUUAGAAAAAAAAUGUUCAUUCUUACAGGUGUUGUUCAUGUGUUUUUAAUCAAGAUUGAUUACCUGCUUCGCCUUUUAUUCUACUACAAUGAAUUCAAAGUCAUAUUGCUAAGGAACUCCUUUAAAUUUUAGUCAUGAGUAUGGUUCUUCAUUUUCUCUCAGCCUUUUAUGCAUAUAUGUGCAGAUUCCUGAAUUGGAUUUUGAGAUCCCUCCAGAGGCUCAGUGUGGAAGUCUAUCAACAGUAUUUCUUUUGCACCCUACUCAUAGUUCGAUUUUUUUCUUCACUGGUUGAACUCUAACUAGCUGCCUUUUGUGGAUGGAUGCUCCCACUUCUGGCUGCUUUGGUUAAUAUUCUUUACUCAUUCAUCACCUGGAUUUUAUGCAGGGUUAUUUCCCUAUUGCACUUCUUGAUUUUAUUUUUUUUUCAAUAAUUGAACUGUAACUGACUUCUCAAGUAAUAGAUAUAGUGCCAAUGUGGUCUCUGAGUUCAAGAGUACCAGUAUUAGUCUUUAAGAAUGCUAGUACAUCAUGCUUGAUUUACCAACACCUUGAGCAGCCAUAAACCUCUCAUAACUAUUUCGACCAUACAACUUGGUGAUCCAUAUCUCUUGUAUUUAUUUUAAUUGAAAGAAACUGCUUGAUGAAAUCAAUUUAAAAGUACAAGAAGGAUGAGCUAGAAAUUCGUUAUCUAACAAUUGUUUUUAUCUUCUAGAUCACAGUUUCUGUGCUUCUUGCAGAAUUAUGUGUUUCUACAGAUUUUUUGUCCUUUCUUUAUGCUAUCUUAAAUCUGUUUCCAAUUUUUAGGUGGAAGGAAUAUUGACAAAAGCCGUGGAUGAUUUACAGGCCCUUCAGGAAGAACGCAAGGUGCACUUCUAGAUUUGAAUGUAUGUUUCUAUUUGAUAUCAAAUGUUUUCUUUCUCAGCACCUAUAUAAUCUAUCUUAUAUGGUUUCUCAGAAAGUGGAUUCUCAGACUGCGGAAGCAAUAGAUCAGUUUUUGUUAAAAUUGAAGCCUUGUGCAACAGGAGAUUCAUCUUUCACCUUCAACCUGGAUGAUCCUGCUGGCAACAGCUUCAUUGAGAACCCGUAAGAGCAUUUUUUUUUUUUUUUAAUUGGAAGGGAAACUUUUGCCUUUUAACUUGUGCUGUCCCUUUUAGGUAUAUGGUUGAGAUAGAGUGUUAUUUAGUUUACUGAAUACUUAAGCAUUCCUCUAAAGCAGAAAAUUCGACAAGAGCUUUAAGGUUUUCUCUCUUUUUUGUGAUUCUCUUAGCUGAGAAAGACAAAUCAACCUUCUCUUGCUUGCAGUGUUAAUUACUUGUUAUGUGUGUAUAAGUUUCUCCUUCUUUUGUAAAUAUUGAAGUCAUUUUCCUUCUUUCAAAUUAAUUUUUAACCUGAUUUUGCUUGAUUAUAGUCUAAAGAGGAUUUGAUUAAAUUGGAAAUAGGUUUGCUCCAUCUCCGGAUCCAUCAUUAACUAUCAAGUUCUACAAGCGAAGCCCUGAGCAACAAGCAUCAUUGGGCUACCUUGUUGACUCAUCACAGUUGGGAGAGUCUUGUGAUGAGGAGUCAAUAAAAGAAGUAAAGAAUACAUCUGAUCAAAUGAAAAGAGAACCACAUGGAUCAAUUGGAGCCGCAGCCGGCCAUCGAGCUAUUGCUCAGGUUAAUAGUGCAGAGAUUGCUGAAAAUUUGUUUCGAUAUUCUACACCAGAAGAGGUAUGACAGUUGUUUUCAGUUAACAAAGGUUACAUGCUUUCUCCAUUUCCUUAUGACUUCAUGUAUUACACCUGUUGUGUUCUGUUUUUGUGUGACAGGUAAUGACUUUCCCAUCAACAUGUGGAGCUUGUGCUGCAAGAUGCGAGACCCGAAUGUUUGUCACCAGUAUACUUCUUAGCUUUUUUCCAUCUCCCUUGAGAUGUUGCAGCAUGUCAUGUUUAAACAGAUUGACAUGAAUGGUUAAAUUAGUUACCUUCUUUAACUUUCUUGAUAGUUUGCAGAGGUUUGUUUUGAUAUUGAAAAAAAAAAAACUAGUUUCCUCCUCUUUUUUUGAUCAAAAUUAAGCUAGAAUUCUUAUCCCCUAUUUGAGGGGGAAAAAAAACCUUGGCCAGUACUCUCUUUAUUAAUCAUACAUUUUUUUUAAUCUUUUUUUUUUUUUUUUUUGUAGGAAACAACAAUGAAUUAUAUUGAAAAAGGAUUUAAGAAGUACAAAUCCAUAUUUUUAAUCUUGUUAGCAUGGAAUUUAAUGUGGCAAAUAAGAAACUUUCUUUAAUGCUGUCUCUAGUGAUAACUAAUCAACUUACUUGCAGACAUUCCAUAUUUCCAAGAAGUAAUUGUUAUGGCUUCAUCUUGUGAUGGUUGUGGCUACCGAAAUUCCGAGGUUUGUCAUUUUGUGCUCAUAGUAAACAAAAUUAUUUUAUUAAUUGAAAAGUGGAAUUGCAAAAUAGCAAUCAGAAGGAUGGGGUUUCUUCAAGAAAAAGAAUCAAAAACCCAAAACCGAUGAACCCUUCUAUGACCUGAAUCCUUCUUUGCUUCUAUGUUUGUUAGAAGCUCAAAAUCCCCCAAUCUCAUGAUUGCCUAGCUAACAAUAUAAGAAGCCUGAAACCUAUCCAAAAAAAAGACCCCUGAAAUCCAAGCUUAGAGCCUAGCUCCCUACUCUAUAUCAUAUGCUUAUAAAUCUCUCCCUCUCUGUGCAGUUGAAGCCUGGUGGUCGAAUUCCUGUUAAAGGAAAGAAAAUUACUGUUUGUGUGAAGAAUGUUAAUGAUCUAAGCCGUGAUGUAAUAAAGGUUUGUUAUUAUUCUUUUAAAACUUCUUGUAUGUGCAAUGCAAUCAAAACCUGCCUUUGUUCACUUGUUUUUCACCUGGCGUUGGUCUGCAAUAGUGACCUCAUAUUAUAAUUUUGUUCUAAUUUCUUUUCUAUUUUCCUUUUUUAAACCUUGCAUGCAGCAGUGGCUUGUGAGAAUAUACCAAUUUUAUUAAUUUACAUCCUAUAAGCAAUUUUAAUUUGGUUCGUCCAGUGGGAGGGAAAUUUCAAUAGUAGUUAAUAAAUUUUCAGUCUAACACUAUCAUAAUGCAUGUACUCUUGUUGCAUCCUUUGUUUUCCUCCUGUGUACUUGGGGUGCACCCUCUGCUCUUUGCUUGACAUCUUUUAUGUGUAUUCUAGUUUACCUAUAAAAGAAAUGCAUGUACUUUUGUCCUGUAUUGAAUGAUAAAAAGCUAGAGGUAGUUGGUUUUGAAGCAGAGACCUCUCCGAAAACAAGUGAAAACAACUAAAAUAUGUUCUCGGAAAAUAUUUUAAGCUUUGUUUGGGAAGUGUUUUCAAAAAUAGUUCUGAAAACAGUUUUUGAAAAUUAUUCUCUAAAGUUUUGUAGAACAAAAGUAUGUUUGGAAACUUGAAAUAUUCUUUACUUGUUUUCUAUGUUUUUAAAUAUGCUUAAAGCCUUAAAAAUAACUUUUAUGUAUAGUACUUUAUUUUUAAUCAUUCUCCUUAUUUGUAUAAUUAUUUUUUAAAAUAGCUUUCAAAGAACCAGUGAAAACAAUUGAAAGCAACUAAAAGAUGUUAUCAGGAAACACUAUUUUUUUAUUUUUAAAAAACUGAAAUUUAUUUUCUUUUUUUGAUUGCUAAAGGUGUUUUUCUAUUUUAUUAUUCUGAAGAACACAAAAUUGUUUUCAAAAAUAGUUGCCAAACAAGGCCUUAUUUUAUGUUUUUAAGAGUGGAACACUGUUCCCUAUUUCCAGAUUGUCAAACAUGUUUUUCUGUUUUUUUGUUCUUAAAAAAAGAAAACUAUUUUUUUAGAACAGUUAACAAACAGACCCAUAUUCUUUGGUUUCUCUCUUUUAUGGUUGUUCAGUACUCACAUAACUUAUACUAUUCAUGAGGCAUUGUAGCAUUAUCUGACAGUAGCCAUGUGGACAUAUCAGUCAGAUACUGCAGGUGUGAGUGUCCCAGAGCUUGACUUGGAGCUGGCUAGUGGCACUUUGGGUGGAGUUGUUACAACUGUUGAAGGCUUGAUUACAAAAAUUUGUGAAAGUGAGUGUUUUUUCACUUUUGCAUUCCAUUUUGAUUCCUUUUUUCAUAUGCUAAACAUGAAAAUUUCCUUUGCCACACUCUCAAAUACGUUGUUGUUUAAGGCUCAAGGCACAUUGUGACGUGAGGGUCUUGAGUCUGAGGCAUGCACCUGGUUGAAAGAACUCCUGGUUGAGAAAUAUAGAACUAGUGUGCUUUAGACAAAACGCACACAGAAAGCAAAAACAGCCAUGGUGUUGAAUUAGCGAAAUUUUUUAUAAAAUUACAUUCAUGGAGUUUCUGAAGAACAGCAGAAUAGUUUUUGCAGUUUGAACAGGAAAUAGAUUUUCUUUUUCUUUUUUCCUUUUUAACAAAAGAAGGAAGUUGCCAUGGUUAUGGCAUGGCUGUAUAUAUGGGCUUGGAACCCAAUCGUUCAUGGGUAUGAAAACAGAGCAAAAGAAGACCUAGAGAGGGUACCUUAACUGCUGGUGUUGUUCAGUGAUAGAAGAAUUUAUUAAGGGGCAGCUUUAUGUGACAGUGAACUAUCUUUCCUAGUGGUUUCUUGUGUUUUAUAGACUCCAACAAAAGCAAGUUCAAGAGAGGCAAAACCUUUUUUUUUUUAUAAGUAAAUGCAAUUGUAUUAAGAAAGCCAAAAAAAUACACCUAAAAGUAUGUAUGAUGUAUAUAAGGCUAAAAGGCUAAAAAAGAGAAGGAAUUCUAAAUUCACAUAGUUGUGCGUCCUUGGUUGAAAGGUCAUUCUUCCUCUUCCCAUGUCAUUAGGUUCACCUGAUUUUAGGCUUUAAUUUAGGCUGUAUGGCUCCUUAUCAUGGAUUAAGGUCCAUUGGAUCAUGACUGAAAAAGGAAAAAUGGAUAAUGUCUUGUGGAACUGACUAAUUUCCAUUAAGUAGCUAUUUCUUUUAAAUGUUUGAUGAGAUAGUCCAACCGAUUGGUAUGACUGCUUAAGAAUGUAAUCUGUACAUGUUGUAGUUCAUUUUAUAAAUUUUCUUAUAUGUGCAUUUGUGUUCUUUUGUAAUAUUGUGCAUUUUUUUUUAUGUGCAUUAGUGUUUUUUUUUUUUUUUUUGUAAUAUUGUGCAUUUUUUUGUAAUAAAUAAAUUUUAUUUCAUGUGUAUGCUCAAUGAUUAAUUAUACAAAAGAUUUUAUGAAGUAUUAUUAUUGUUAAAGUUGAAGAAUUUUUAAUGUUCCACUGUUGAACCAGGUUGGUUCCUCAAAAGAAUUUUUAAUUAUUAGAGGCUAUUAAUUUAUGAGAUAUUGAUUGUUGAUAGUCCUUUGCACAUCAAACAUAUUCCUGGACAUGCAGUGGUGCACACAACACAAUUCUGUAUUUAGUUUAUUCUAUUUUAAAAUUGGGUCAUGUAAGUGGAUUUUAUCGUCUUGACAUAUUAUACAAACACAAAGAAAAACGAUCAAUCAUAACCUUUUUGAUUUACUUGUGUAGACCUUGAGAGAGUACACGGAUUUACUUUUGGGGACAGUCUCGAUGAUUCUAAAAGAAGCAAAUGGCAAGAUUUCAGAAUGAGGCUAAGCAAGGUACUGUUUGACAAUAGCCCCAAUUUGAAAAUCAGCGUGCGGGCACAUUGUUUAUCAAGUUCUGUGAGAACCUUCCGGUUCAAACAAUUAUUUUGUGUGUUUUUCUAAUUUGAUUUCCAUUGCUUUUGGGGAUCUGAAAAUUUUUUAUAAGAUAUACUUUGUCAUUGUUUAAACUAUUGAUGAUUGAAAUGGAGGACUUGGAAACCAUUUAUUGAUAAAUGGAGGUGGUUUUUUCCCCCCCUUGUCUCCCCUUGAUGCAAGUUUAAUGAGGUUUUAGGUUUUAACAAAUGGAGGUUAUUUUGUUUCAUAAAUCUUCAUUUUCUCAUGAUGCAAGUUCUAAUGUUAUGCAGCUUCUGAGUCUGGAAGAGCCUUGGACUUUAAUCAUUGAUGACGCACUAGCAAAUUCUUUUGUUGCACCAACCACUGAUGAUAUCAAAGAUGACCAUCAGUUAACGUGUAAGUUCUCUUCCUGCCAGUCUGAGGCAAGUUUGAUUUUGAAAUGUACUUCAUUUUUAAUGAAAAGACUGAUAAUUUUUAAACCAUUGAGGUAUCUAGGGGUGGGUAAAGCUGUGCUCCGAAUAAGGAAUUAUUUUAUUUUAUUUGUUUAUUUCAGGUUUUUGCACCACUGUCCAAACAAAGGCCAUUCGUAGAUGGCUUUUGCAUUCAUGAUACAGUGAUUGCAAAAAUUUGAAAUAUAAAUAAGAAAGGGCAGGCACUCUGGAGGGUCAGAAUGCUCCUUCAUUCAUGUUAGAUUCCACUGCUUCACCACCCCUCCAGAGUUGGGCAUUUCUAGUUAUCUUGGCCAUCCAUUCAACUGGAUGCCUGCUUUAGGCAUGUUCUAAAAUUUUCUGACAUUUUCUUCUGUACACUACCUCUUAGGGCAAAGAAUUCCAGCAAGUUUGGAAUUUAAGUUACUUGGAUGCUUUUCUUGCUUUCAAAAGUCAGAAUUGUAAUGAGGUGCUUGGUGUUAAUUUGUUUUCUUGCUUCUAUACUUGAUUGAUCCUAAAUAAUCUUGUAGAAUGGGUAGGGUACAACUGUGAUCUGUUGGAUUAUAACAAAGAUAGAUGUCAGUAAACAUGGAAGGCCAGAAUAUACACAUUAAGAACGCCUUGAAAGAUGUUUUACUUUGAACCAUGUGACGAAAACAUAUUCAGUUUUCAGACACUUGCAUCAAUUAUGAUCCAGAAAUUCAUAUAAAUCAUUUUAGCAUCGAAUCAUUUAGCAUAUAAAACUUAAGAAUUAGGGUCAUCCACUUGGUCACUCAGUUCCUUCACCAUUUGGCUAUUUUCGUACCCAGUUUCUCCCACCAGUUCUGCAUUAGAUUGCCUCUAUUAAAACAUCAUUCACUCUAGUAUCCAGUUAUUACUAUUUUUUCUUUUGUUGUGAUAAUACUGUAUUGUCACCAUCUCCAGUUGAGGAAUACGAGAGGUCAUGGGAGCAGAAUGAGGAGCUGGGUCUUAAUGAUAUGGACACUUCUUCAGCAGAUGCCGCAUACAACUGAUGGGUAUUGAGUGUUAUAGGAGAAGACAAAUGGCUAAUCUCUUCCUUUGUUGUGAUGAUACUGUAUUGUCACCAUCUCCAGUUGAGGAAUACGAGAGGUCGUGGGAGCAGAAUGAGGAGCUGGGUCUUAACGAUAUGGACACUUCUUCAGCAGAUGCCGGAUACAACUGAUGGGUACUGAGUGUAAUAGGAGAAGACAAAUGGCUAAUCUCUUUUUCUUUUUCUUUUUCUUCUGGAAGGGAAAUGUAUCUUCUAGUUUAACCCCAUGCAGCAUUUCAAAUUGUUUGUGUUAUGGUUUUGAUUUCAAAAAGUAAAAUCUUAGCAAUCAAUGUACUAUUAAUCUUAUCACAUCAUCUGGUGUUGGAUAUGACUGGAAAAAAUUGCCAUCUGCUCAGUAGAUUUCAGGACACUGUAUAAUGGACUAGUUGGAAGAAUCACAUUGAUUAUUUUUCUUAAAUUCUAUAAUGCUUUUUACUUAUAAUUUUAGAUCCCAUUUGGGUUGGAUUAUGAGAGACUGAAAUUUAAUGAAGUCAUUAUUUUUGGACACCAUUUGGAUUGGAUUGAGGAUGUGAUUAUGUAAUUUUACAAAAGUCAAAUAAUGUUAGCUUCUUUUCAGCUUAUUGGGGAAGUUAACUCUCAAUAUUUUCUCUUUGAAGAGGGUAUUAAUUUGCUUCUGCAUGUCCUUAAAGCACAAAUAAGAAACUAUUUACUAAGCAUAUGGGAGGUUCUUAAGGGUUGGUUUGAUACAAUUUGUGGAAACAGUUUUUAAAAUUAAAAUUUUGAGGAUAUUUCUUAAAUUUGUUCUAAAGUCUGUCAUAUUUUUAAAUAUUUUCUCAAAAAUUAAAUUAUUUUUUUAAGUUAUUAAAUUAUAUAAAGUCUUUAAAUUAUUUUAGUAAAAUAAUUUUUAGUUUUAUAUUAUAAUAUUAGAUUAUUUUAUUAAAUAUAAUUAAUGUAAUAAUUUAAACUAAAUCAUUAUAUCACUAAAAAUGUUGUAUAAAAUAUUAUUUAAUUACAUAAAAAAAUAAUAUCUAGCGAUAAUACUUAUUAAUUUGGCUAGACUCUCUGGAAUGUGCUGUAUUUUUUAAAAUUUUAAAAUAUACAAAAAAAUAUUAUUUAUACAUAUUUUUAUUUUAUUUUUCCUGAUACUUUUGCUUAUGGCAAAUGGGAAACAGCUUAAAUAUUAAAGAGGUGGGCAGGGGAGAAGGGAGGAUGAUUGGAUCAAUUGAUUUGAGAAAAGUGUUAACUGUAAGUACAAUCAGAUUUCAAAAUUUGAUGGUCUGACAAUAAGUAGAGAGAGAGAGAGAGAGAGUUGAGAACUUAAAGAGUCAACAGAAGUAUAACUCAAGAACAAGUGACGGCACAGGUGAAACAGAACAUAGAGAGAGAGAUGGAGAGCAGUGAAGAAGAAGACGAUUUGGACUACCCAAUCAAUGAUGGCAUCACUCCCCAAUCCAAGAUUGACUCCAUCUAUCAGUCCAAUACCGAAAAGGUAUUCCCUUUUCCCCAUGUCUGGUUCAGGAGAAAAUCGCUAGGAAAAUGGGAGAAAUUUUUGACCCACUUUUCAAUCCCACUUCCAUAGGGUCCUCCCUUUUCCGGCCCGUCUUUGUUUGCGGAGAAAGUGGGGGGACAACAAGGAAAAGCAUUUGAAAAAAAAACAAAAAAUCCUCUCUUUUCUCCGCAAUCGAAAGUGUUUUCCCCAAAAUUUCUUGGUCUUGGAGUGUGAAAUACCUAAGUGCUCUGUUUAAAGUUCGGUAAAUGGAACAUUUUUCUGUUUUCCUAUCUGGGUUUCGUUGUUCCUGCAUUUAUCUGCGUAUCUUUAAUGGGCUGUCUUUGUAAGAGUUUGCACCACUUUGAGUUCAAUCUAUGUGAGGGAUUUGUUUAUGGCCCUAUGGGUGGCAUUGUUGGAAAUGAUAGAAACGUAGAACUCACUUCAAUAAUGGAAAAGGGGAUACAAUCAAGGAGGAAAACAAAGGUCCCUUACAGUACUUAGAGUAUGUUGCUUGAUUUUUCUACAAAGAGAAAAAUCCUAACCUCAUUUGCCCAUCUAAAUUCCACAUUCUUUAUUCUUGCUAUAGCAGCAACCUCCGUAAUAGAUAGACAUAUCUCCAUGAGCUCGGCUUUGAGGUCAGUAAUGUUAGCUAAAAUCUUCAACAAGCAAUCAAAGAUUGGCCUUGAUAACUUGUCAAUCUCCUUGGUUAAAGCACACCUGCAUCACCCCGGCAUAUCAUAAUUUUGUUUACUUUUAUGCCCUUCCAGGAAUUGUUGUAACAGUUUUUAAUUAUGUUUUGUUGUGUUAUGGGAGAUAGUUACAUUUCCAUUUAUUAUAAAUAAAAUUUUGUUUGUGUAGGGAAUCAGAAAGCUUUGUUGUGAGCUCUUAGUUUUGAAGGAUGCGGUGGAAAACUUACGUGGGAAUAUGCGUACUAAGUACUUGGCUUUCCUGAGGUAACAAAAUGCAUAGUUUUUAUGUUCAUGCUGAAUUAUAUGAAACGGUUUUAGUGAGUAUUAGAUGAUUUCCCUUUUUCUUCUUGGGCAACAUCAUGGAAUAGCACUUGUUGCUUGUACCUUAUCAAACCAAGGGACAUUAAUUUCUUGUUUGAUAUCUUCUAGCAAUUUCACCUGUUAAAAAUUUAACUAAGUUCUCACCUUUGCCUUUCUUGCUAUUCCUUGAAAUUAUAUAGCAGCAAUUUGAAAGAAGAUAGAAAUUAUCUAGCAGUCAUUAGAAGUCAUAACUUCCUUGAAGCUGCUUCUACCCUGGAUAGGAGACUUCCAGUAUGAGAUAUCUUUUGAGGAAUUGAAUACUUACAUUCCAUAUUGGCCCAGGCCUGAGCUCAAAUUCAUUUGCUUGUGCGAGAAAAAAAUGCAUGUCUUGAUCAAUGAGACUUAUCUAUGAUUUAUAACUUGUCAUUGCAGCUCUACAUUUCCAAUUAUUAAUGAAUUUUCAAACUUUUUCCCUCCCAAUGCUAUGCUUAUAAUUGCCUUUUGCUUCUUUAAUUCCAGUUAUAGAUCACUUGAAUUUCAGUUAUUUGGUUCAUUAAUUAAUGAUUCUGAUCCAUAUGUCUAUACUAUUGAUUAUAUUAUAAUGGUAGGAUAUCUGAUGAAGUUGUUGAAAUGGAGCAUGAGUUAAUUGAGCUGCAAAAGCAUAUUUCUGCACAAGGGAUUCUUGUGCAGGAUUUGAUGAGUGGUGUGUGCCGUGAAUUGGAAGAGUGGAACAAAGCUAAUGGUGAUAUUCAUGAAGCUCAACAAGAUCCUCAAAUUGGUGAACUUCAAGAUCCUUUUCCAAAUAACAUAGUUGAUGCCAAGACAAUAUUCUUGGAGAAAAUUGAUGUUCUCUUGGCUGAACAUAAAGUGGAAGAAGCAAUAGAGGCUUUAGAUGCGGAAGAGAGAAAUUCUCCAGACUUGAAAAGCUCGGGAGAUACUUCACCUACUGAAGCAUCUUCUUACAGGUCUGCUUUCUUGAAAAGAAAGGCAAUGCUUGAGGAUCAGCUAGUUGAGAUCACUGAACAACCUUUAGUUGGUACCCUGGAACUGAAGAAGGCUCUAUCUGGUUUGAUAAAACUGGGAAAAGGUCCUUUGGCACAUCAGCUACUUCUAAAAUCAUAUGGUUCACGCCUCCAAAAGAGCAUUGAGGCUUUUCUUCCUGCAUGUUCUAGCUGCCCCAAAACAUAUUCAGCCACCUUAUCUAAGCUUGUAUUUUCUCUGAUCUCAUUGACAACAAAAGAAUCAGGUUCAAUAUUUGGUGAUGAUCCCGCUUAUACCAACAGAAUUGUUCAGUGGGCAGAGUGGGAAAUUGAAUCUUUUGUACGACUAGUGAAGGAGAAUGCACCCCCUUCAGAGUCCAUUUCUGCUCUACGUGCAGCUAGCAUUUGCAUUCAGGCUAGUCUGAGCCACUGCUCACUGUUGGAAUCACAAGGCCUGAAACUCUCAAAGUUGCUUAUGGUGCUCUUGCGGCCAUAUAUUGAAGAAGUUUUGGAGUUAAAUUUUAGACGGGCUAGAAGAGUGAUUCUUGACUUGGAUGCAAUUGAUGAAAGCUUCCCAUUGUCACCCUGCUUUGCAUCUCCAUUGUCUGCUUUUGCAACAUCAUCAGAUACCAUGCUCAUUGACAGCGGAAUCAGGUUUAUGUACAAUGUCAAUGUAAGCUAAUCUUUUCUUUAUGAUUUAGCUAUCACUAAACAGUAAAUUUGAAUCUCAAUAGUGAAACCACCAUAAGCACCUUAUCUUUUGAGACAUGGUUUUCAAAUGAAAAAUCAAGAUAUAGUGUUUGAUGGGCCCCAAAUAAGUGAUUUCACUGGAAGCAUUAGCAUACUGGAUGACUUAAGACCAUUUGAUUUAAUUUUGUUACUCCAAGCAUGCAUUUUUUUUAAUCUAUGAAAGAUGUGUCAAUUUUUUUUUUUGGGGCAAAUUCAAACUCAUUGAAUCAUUUUGUAAGGAUUCUUUGUGUUGACAAUAUCUUAACUGAAAUGUAAAGCUAGCAACAUGACAUGGAUUACAGGACUUGGCUCAGGUUAGAAUAUGCUCAUCACAGACCUGCAUUUUCAAAUUGUAUCAAAUCGGCUAGAAAUUUUUUAAAAUAUUUUGAAAUUAAAGCUUUAGUUUCAAAAUUAUAGAAGAUAGCAAUAUAAUAUUAAUUAUUUAUUUAAACAAUUUAAAAUUAAUCGGUUAUAAUUAACUAAUUCUAUUGAAGUUUGGGUGGUUGGAAAAGCCAAGUCUGGACCUAACCUGUGUAAAUUUGGAUUGGUCUUGGGUUGAACCCAAAAAGAUUCCAUUGGGUUCAUAAAAUACCAACCUGUUCUUGUUAAUUUUAGGCAGAUUGGUGGCUCUAGUUGGAAAUUGCUAUGCUAGUAAAAUUUGUCUUGCACUCUCACUAGUAUGUAUGUACCUAUAUGGACCUGCUACCCAUCCAUAAACAAAAAAGUACACUUGUACACAGGCAAACACACAGAUAUAUAGGUACCUAGAUAUGCAUACAUGGAUGUGUGUGUGCGCACACACACACACACACACACACUCUCAUGCAAAUGUGCUCUCCUAUGUGGAUAUGAUUAUUUUGAAUAUAUGGAAGUAUGUUUUGAAUCUAAGAUUGCCAGUUAAGUCAUAUUGGUGCACAAGAACCCAUGCCACUUGUGCUGGGCUGGAAAGUUCUAUGAUUUAAGCUUCAAGCAGUCGAUAGAGUACAAAAUGAUUGCAUAUGCUUAGAUAUAUAUAUGACCCCAUAUUUAUGUACAUACAUGUUAACAUGUAUAUGUUAUGUGAUUGUAAAUGUGUUUGUAUGUGCAUACAUAAAUACUUUAAAUGCAUAAAGAUAAUGGUAAUAUUUGACACAAAAAUUUGCACAUACGAUGACAGGGAACGCUCUAAAUUCUUGCUAAGCAGUGUUUUAUAGUAGACUACUGGUCGACUGCUAGUUAAGUAGUUCAUCGCUACCAAUGAUCAAUUGAUUCAAUUCAUUGUAAAAUCUUGAAGUUCAAUAUUCUCUGCAGGAAAUAGUGGAACAGCUAACCCCACUCACCAUUUUGCACUUUGGAGGAAGCAUAUUAACUAGAAUUUCACAGCUGUUUGCUAAAUACGUGGGUGUUCUAAUUAAAGCCUUACCUGGCCCCUCUGAAGAUGAUAAUCUUACAGAGCUGAAAGAGGACAUACCCUUCAGGGCUGAAACAGAUGCACAACAGCUUGCACUUUUGGGAAUAGCAUUUACUGUGGCAGAGCUAUUACCGAUGGCUAUAUGGAGAACACAGAAUGAAUGCAAGGAACCAGGUAGUGGACCCACUGAAAACAUUGUGCAUACUGCAAGUGCCAUGGAAUCUAAGGAAUGGAGGCGCCAUAUUCAGCAUUCAUUGGAUGAGCUUAGAGAUCACUUCUGUCGACAAUAUGUUUUGAAUUUUAUCUAUUCAAGGGAAGGGAAAACACAAUUGAAUGCACAAAUUUAUUUAAAUGGGAAAGGAGAUGACCUGAGUUGGGACUCUGGCCCACUGCCUUCACUGCCUUUCCAGGUUGUCCCUUUUCUGUAAUUGCUGAAGUGUUAUUCUGGGGUCUGUAGAUGCCAUAUUUGGAUGUGUUCUCAUUUAUUAAUCUUGUUUCUGUUUAAUCCUUAUUGUUAUUUUCAUUUAAGGGCUCUUCGUUUUUUAAAGGAAUCAUCUUAUUAUCAAGAAAAUACUCCUUUAAUUUUAGGAUAUAUUCCCUGUAUUAUAUAUGUGACAUUUUCAUACAUCUCCAUUAUUUCUUUUAAUGAAUAUAAUGUUAUGUAAUAUUUGUUUAUGUCAGCAUAUAGUUGUGUGAAUAUGGUGAUUUGUUGGGCUGCUUGGAGCUAGUGUGUUGGCUUAUUGCAUAUAAGAUAUUGCAUAAUAUGCAUUUUAAUGUGUUCUUUCAUUCUAGUGUAGACUCGUAGAAAAAAUGCUGCUUGAUACUGGAUUUCACUUAAACUUGUUUUUCACUUAAAAUAUACAUUGCAACAUAUUUUGUGAAGGUCCAUGCUCACAGAUUUUGUUUUAUUUUGGAGGCAUGAUUUCCUUUUUCAAGCCCAGGGAUACUGGCAUCUGAUCCUAUCUAUAUGAUUGUUGCCAGGUUUCCUGUGUUCUGCCGAGCAGCAUCAAUAUAGUUUCUUAUGAAUUUUCUUUUCAGGUACUCAUAAUGAGAUUCUGUGCUAUGACUGCAGAUGUUAUUUGUGAAGCUGCAGCAGUUAGCAACUGUGGCUGGAGAUGUAUUACUUGGAAAGGAGAAAAUACAGAAAAUUUUGCUUGCCAGGCUAACAGAGACAGUGGUAAUAUGGUUGUCUGAUGAACAGGAAUUCUGGGGUGUAUUUGAGGAUGAGUCAGCUCCCCUUCGGCCAAUCGGGUUGCGGCAGGUAAUUGUACCCUUCUAGGCCUUUCUUAAAAUCCUUCUUUAUGAUAUGAAACUCUGGAACAUCUGAUGUCUGUGUUGGUUAUCCAUUCUUUUACGCCCUAUACAUAGUUUUCCUUCUUUCAUUUGUUUAAUAUCAGUCAAAAACUCGAUUAUCUUUCCCUCUACCAGGGAAGGUUGUGAUAAUACAGACUCUUGAUGGAUCUCAUGGGGGAUGUUUAGGAUCAAUUAUUGGACUAUAUAGAGAAUUACAAGAUUUUAAGAAAUGAAUAUAUAUAUAUAUAUAUAUAUAUUGUUGAUUAUUUAACUGGGGCACUUGUAAAACUAGCCAAAAUUUUACAGUAUCUUUCUUUUUUUCAUUUUACACUUGACCCAUCCAUGUCAAUGAUUAACCAAAAUGUCAGAAUCAAACUAUUUCUAUUUUAAAAAAGGAAUACACCUAUUACGAAAAAAUUAUAACAACAGGUGUCAUACUAUUAAUAUAUAUAUGAUAAUCAUAUAUACCGUCUUUAUGGAAUUCUUUCUUCCAAGUUUUGCAGUUGUGACCAUAUUUUUUCUUCUAGGAUUUCACAAUGGUGUCUAUAUCUUAGUAAAAGCAUCCUGAUUAGCACAAGUGGUAUGUUACAUUUGUUUAGGAUCUUCAUCUUGUUGCAUAUGUUAAAAUGGUCAUCCUGCUGUUGGUUGUCUUGGCAGUUGAUUCUUGAUAUGCACUUCACCGUUGAAAUUGCACGUUUUGCUGGUUACUCAUCACGACAUGUGCACCAGAUUGCAGCAGCCAUAAUUGCUCGUGCCAUUAGGACCUUCUCUGCUAGAGGCAUAGACCCACAAAGGUACCACCCCUUCAUUUUCUGAAAGUUCUUACAUUCUCACCUGCAACUAAAACUGUUAUGUUUCUCCUCAGUGCACUCCCUGAGGAUGAAUGGUUUGUGGAAACUGCCAAAGGAGCAAUACACAAGCUUAUGUCAGACGCUUCAGACACUGAUGAUGAACACAUCAUUGAUGAACACCUCAUUGACGAACACAUGAUUAUGCAUGAUGAGAUGGCCUCUGAUUCUGAUGACAGUCCGUCUUCCCUUUCAUCAGUAGAAAGUUCCGAGUCGUUUGCUUCUGCAAACAUGGGUGACUUAGAAAGCCCCACUGACUUGACUGAUCCUGAGAACUGAAACUCUACAGCUAAAUUCAUCUUUUCAGGACUCAAGUUUCUUCAGAUGCUCAUUCAUUUAGCAUUGUAGGAAGUUUAUUUACAGAUUUUGUAGUUAGAGAUGAGGUAGUAGAUCAUAUUUAAAUGUAAACUGUUGUAUAAGAGCAAGUCUAGGCAGCUGUUGUGGAUCUUUCUUGUGAUCAUAAAUUUGUCUUUGGAUAGAAGUAGAAGUUCCAUCUUCUCUUUUCCUUUCACUCCCAUCUCGAUCUUUCCUAUAUGACAGUAUUUUCAGCAUUCACUCUGGUCCUCUGUUAUCCCUUCCACAGUUUCAAUCUAACUCAUGGGGUUUUGGCCUUUCUAGGUAGAAUAGCUAGUUUUGUAAGGAUUUUAAUUAGAAAAUGCUGAACGUUUAAUGAGCUCUAGACAUGCAGUAUCAAUAAGCCCUCUAGGGGGUAACUCAGUGAUAGUGUGCUUUGACUACAGUUCUGAGUUUGAGCUUCCCUGGUAUUUAGGUGAUCCAGGUUAAAGGGGUAGGUUUUUUGUUUAUUUAGGGUCGAUCUAUAUACAUCAGAAAAUGUUAUGGUGCCGUAGUGGUACCUAUUGAAGUCUAGAUUUAGAUCGUUAGAUAUGUAUAUUGAGAUCUAGGUUGUUUAAUGAGAAUAAAAUUAAAUGAGACCAAGAUAUAAAGGUACAAACAAAUAUAAUUAGGGUACAAAUAAUGGGACUUAAAAAUGCAUAUAUGGCACAUCUGAUUGAUGGUGUCUUUUUAAUAUGCUAUCGAAAAGAAAUGAGACACCCAGCCCCUGCUCCUCUCUUUCCUUCAGAAUCUCCGAUCUUGGAAAUUUGCAUUCAUUGAAAGAGUCCUCUUUGGCCUUCGUUUGAGGAAGCAGGUAAUUCGCCUACGAUGUCUUCACAUGAUAGGUUGCAAAAAUCCUUAUUAGAAAGAAGACUUAGGUGGUGUUUGUUUUUUUACUUAAUUCUAAAUAGAAUCUUAUUACUUAAUAGUGUUAAAUAUUAGGUUAUUUGUUUUUGGAUUAUUUUAUUUCUAUUAAGUAUUAAAAAGUAAAGAAAAACCAAUAUGUUAUUUUUUCUAUUUAGAAAAAGCUACAUAUUUUAGCUUUUUCUAUUUAGUAAUAAAUUUAUAAUAAGUCAUGAAAAAGUAGAAAAACAAAUAACCUAAAUUCUGAAAACAAAUUAUUUUUAGCAAAAAACCAAAAAAACAAACACCUUUUUAGACAUCCUCGGGUGAAGUAGCUAGCAAGGCCAGGCACCUAAUGCAUGUGAGGGUAAGAGAAGGAAGUCUCUUUGGCACGUAUGAGUGCAUUUCUUUCGAAAAAAUCAUCAUUCAGUGCCAUAGAUGGACCUUUAAACUUGAGUCAUUUAAACUUUUUGGUGAUUUUGACCAAACAGAGUGUAUUUUUAGGAUGAGUAAGAGCAGAAACUAAGCAUGCUUAAAAGAAUACUUAUAUUAUGGAAUGUAUAUGAUUUUGUAUAGAGGGGCAUAUUGCCAUAUGGGGACCUGUUCAAUUGGGGACAGAUUCCCCUGCUUCACAUGCCUUAAUUCUCCUCUCAGAAAUACAGUCAAACACUGUUGGAUCAUCCUCAUUGCCCCAACCCCAGUUGGGCUCAAACUUGAAAUCCUUUGCAAAAUAACUAUAAUUUUUCAUAAGAGAACUUUUGGGUCUUUGUGUAGGCCAAAGGUAGCCCAUAUGCAUUCUUCUUUUGCAGAUUCCAACUCUUGAAAUAAGGUGUGUGGACACAAUCCUGAAAAGUUGAAAGAUACAAGUGUUGGAAAAGGCCAAGUAUAAGAGCUUGUUCUUUAGUCAUGAUUUAGAAUGUUGGUUCAAACGAUUAUUAAAAUAUAAAUUUGGGAUUCAUUUUUAAAACAAUGGUUGGAAAUGACCCCUUUCUUCCGCAUCCUUCAUCUUUUCAAUUUUUUUUUUCAAAAAAAAAUAUGUUAAAUUAUAUUUUGAAAUAAAAACAUGUUAAUAGAAAAAAUGAAAAUUAUUUUUAAAAAAUUUCUUUCUCAAAAUGUACUUUCAGCUUAAUUUAAAAUAAUAAUAAUAAUAAUGACAUCAAAAAGAUUGUUUUAAUAAUAAGUUUAAAAGCAUAACUAUAUAUUGUACUAAUAAAAAAUUAAUUUUAUAAUUAGGAAAAUUAUCCUUUCCAUGAAAAUAUUGUUAUAUUUAAAAAUUGUAAUUCAUCAGAAGUUCAUAACUAAGACAGUAGGCCCCAAAAAAGGAGAUGAAAAAAAAGGAAAAAAGAGAGGAAAAUACACAAUAGGAUAUUUUUUAAAAAUUAAAUAAAAAUAAUUAUAAAAUGAAAAAGCGCGGGAAAUGGACGGUUAUGAUAUAUAACUAUAUAAAAGAGAAGUGCGACUGAUGUGAAGCGUGGGAAUUGAGAUUUUCUAGGGUUUUGAAAUUGCUAGAAAUGGAUGCAAUCGAAGAGAGAGUUGCGGAGAAGGAAAGCGGUGGAUGCAUCGAUCUGUGCCUUGGCGAAGCAGUAGUGGAUCUGACUGGCCACAUUCAUCAGCUCCCAUGCUGCAUCAAGUACAACGGACCUUGUUCUGUUUCUCACUAUUUCAAACCUAAACAUACCGGUGAACUUUCCUCUCCCUUUCUUUCACUUUCUUUCACGUUUGUUAGCUGGGUCUCUUUUUUCGUGGUUUAGGGGUUUGCUGAUUUUUGACUUUUUUGUUUUUUACACAAUAGGGAUAGAGGUUGAGGGUUUGAAGGUGGAGGAGGCCUUCUUUAGGGGAAGAAAGUUGCAGGGAACCACUAUUCACCUUCCGGAGGGCUAUUCUGGUAUGUGAUUUCUGGGAAGUUUUUGUUUUUGUUUUUUCUUUUGCUCUGAUGUUCUGUUGGGUUCUAAGAAGAUGGAGGAAAACAAAGGGAAGUGAAGUUUUGAAUUGUGGAUUUUUUUUUUCAUUGUUUUGGACUCGAGGAGACAAGAGCGUAGAAGAAACCAAUCUCAGAACGGAAGCCCUUUUGAUUGUACCGGGAAUAUUGAGUGAGUGAAAUUGUUACUUGAGAUCCAAAGCCAGUUCAUGAUUUAGUAUCUGGCGGUCAAGAGUUAGAAAUGAUUGAUGGUUUGCACAUUGUGCAAGGAACAUGAUACAUUGGGGCACGGAUUUGGACAAUUCACAAUGUACUUAGGUUUUAUUUCGUUUCCUUAUUUGAAGAGCCCUAGUGCAAAUCAUAUUCGUAGUUGGAUGGGAAUGGAUUGCUCUCCCUUUUUGUUAGACACUUUCUUUAAUAAAUUUUUUGUUUAACUAUCAAUAUAAAAUGAAUGGGAAAUUGGCCACUAGAAUAGUGAUAUAAAAGAAUGAAUAAAAUGAACAAUGUAUAGGACAAGAGGUAGAGAUAUAUGGGAAGACUUUUAAAUUCAAGAGAUGUAUGAUUGAACUGAAUCAGUCAUCUGGGUAAAUGAUACCUUUAAUUCAUAAUGCGGGGUGAAAUUGAACUGUACACCUAUUUAUGUAAAAUUUCAAAACAUUUGUAGAAGGCCCUUAACGUUUGAGUUUAGGUCAUCUUAGAAGGUUCAUAUAACUAACUCCUGAUUAUAACUUUGCAGGCUUUGUCCUAGGAAAAAAGAGUUCCAACACGACAAAAUCUACUGGCACAUCUGAAGGAAACAUGAACAGAUGGGAAACAAAUGCAAAAUUUCAGGCGAUAACAUUUUGGAAUCAUGACAAUCUUCCUUCACAAGAUGAUUCUUAUGUGCGGUCAUUUCACUGGUUGGCUGUUUCCAAAGCAGUAAGUUUCUGUGUGAUACCUUUGAGUUAUUCUACUUGGUACAGCCAUGAUGGCUUUGUGUCUUUGCAUUCUUUGAUCUGACAUACAUAUAUGAAUUGACCUAUAAAAAAAAGGGACAUAUAUGAAUUAAUGUUUUUUGUAAGUCAAGCAUUUCUUCAUUUCUUAUGCACAAAACUCUUGUUCCAACAUAUUAGCAAGUCUUUCACCGAAAGUGGAAGAACCCAUCAAAUGCUAAAUGAAGAGAACAAGAAGUGUCAUAGCUCCUUAGCUUCCCCACAAUGGAUAAGGAGAUGGUCUACUAAUUCUUUUGUGCUUUUACACAUACGGCAAUGACUUGCCAAGAACCAGCCUCUUCUGUUAAUUUGGUUAAGGGUUAGAAUCUUUCCCCAAGCCGCUUUCCAUGUGAGGAAAUUCACCUUAAUAAGAGCCAAGAGCCCCACAUUAUUUUUUAGGGGAAAGACACUUCUCCCUCUAACUCAAGGGUAGAGUAGAAGGACUUAAUCGAGAAUACCCCACUUUUGAUAGCCUUCUCCAAUACUCCUUCCUGACACAUAUGGCUUCCAAGGCAACUCUUCAACAUUUUCCACCUCUCAAUCUUGGAAAUGUCUCAAGAAGCAUGAGUUUCACAAGAUCAACCGGUAAAGCCACCAAUGUCUCUUUAGAAGCUGUAAAGUAGAAUAGAGAUGUAAUAGAAUCUUUCAAAGGAACAUCACCACACUAUACAUCUUGCCAAAAUUCUAUUCUUCUCCCAUUGCCCACCUCAAAUCUUAUCCUAGCCUUGUAAACUUUACAUCAUUAUCUUAUUGACUUCCAUAAGCCAACACCAUGACCUUUCCUUCCUACUUGAGAGAACCACCCACUUGGCUUCUCUCUAUUCUUGUGUACUAUGACCUUUCUCCAAGGCAUCUCCCUCUUUAGAGCGAAUCUCCAACACUAUUUUCCCAACAAGGCUUCAUUAAGAGUGGGUAGGUCCUUGAUGCCAAAGCCUCUUUCUUUUUAUCUCUAUAGAUUAACAAUCAUUUUACUAGAUGAGGUUUCUUCUUAAGAGCUCCUUUUCCUUAUAGGAAUCCCUCUAAAUUUUCACCAGUCUCAAAGCCAUCAAUUUAGGAAUAAUAGAAAGGAACAUGAAAUAAAUUGGUAGGCUGCCAAAAGUGCUGUCUAGUAAAAUGAGUCUCCCACCUUUUGAGAGUUAUUGCCUCUUUCACAUUGUUAGUCUUUUGGAAAACCUCUUUCAUCAACAAAUAAGAGGUGCAAAAUAUCCCCUCCUUCACCACCUCCCCUUGCUAUCUUAAAACUUGAAAUGAAGCUACCUUCCCUACUCUUUCUCAAGAGAAUACUAACAACCUCUAUCACCAACACCAAUAAGUGAGAGGAUAGGGGGUCCCAUUGCCUUUUGUGCUCCAAGCUCAAUGAAACUUCAUUCACUAAGAAUGAGAAUCUCGCCAUUGAAAUGCAAAAUUGAAUCUAAUCAAUCCAUUUUUAUUCAAAUCCCACUACAUUACAUUACUCUUAAGAGGAAGCUCCAACAUGGUCAUAGGCUUUUUCAAUGUUUAAUAGACUACUCCCUCUCUAUGACUCCUCGACCCUGAAUCUAUAGCUUUAUUGGUGAUUAAGACCGUUUCUAGAAUUUGUCUCCCUUCUACAAACACAUUGUAAGACUUCAACACCAUUUUCCUAUCGUUUUCUUUAGUCUAUUUUCCAAAACUUAGGCUAGAAUCUUGUACAAAUUACCCACAAGGCUAACAAGUCUAAAUUCCUUUAAAUCUUUGGCUUCACCUUUUUUUGGAUCAAAACAAAAAUUAGUGCUUGGACUUUUUUCAAAGGUACACCUCACAAAAAAAAAUAAAAAUAAAAUCCCUUAAUAGGCCUAAGACCUCCUCAUUAACAAAAUCCUAACAAUGUUGCCAAAAUGCCAAAGAAAGAACAUUUGAUAUCGGGGCUUUGGCAUUGUUCAACUCUAAGAGUGUCAUGAAUCUCCUCGGUGAAUGCCUCUUCCAACCUAUUAGAGUAUUAUUGCUCAACAUCUUGAAAGACAUGUCAUCUAUAUUUCCAACAAAAGAAGUUGAAAAUAAUUCACAACCCUUUCUAAACUCUCAGCUUCCUUUGUCACCCACUCACCAUUUUCCCUGAUUCUCACUAUGAAAUUUCUUAAAUGCCUGGCAUUAGCCAUCUUGUAAAAAAUACAUAGUAUUUUUGUCACCUUCCUUUAGCCUCACAUUCCUUGAUUUUGGUCUUUAAGAGAUUUCCUCUAGAAUGGCUCAAAGAUUGAACUCUUCUAAUGCUACAAUUCAAACUUCCCUAUCUUCCAAGGGAAACAAUCCUUCCCCCUCCUUUUUGUCCGAUAGCUAAUCUAAUCCAAGGAACAAGCUUCGCGGGUUGCUACAUUCCUAGAAGGCUCCUUCAUUCCAAGCUUUUAAUGCUUUUGCCUUUGAAGCUACAAUGAAGCUACAGGAUCCACUAAAUUGAUACCCUUCCUAUCACCCUUAACCAUAUCUUUGAAUCCCUCGACCUUAAGCCACAUGUUUUCAAAUCUGAAAGGGGUCCUUCCUCUUCUUACCCUUCUUCCCUCUAAUAAGAUAGUAGAAUGAUCAGACACAGGUUGUGGUAACAGGAAUUGCGAUGCAUUUGUGAAGCCAUCCUCCUAGUCUUAUUAGGAAGUGGUUAAUCCUUGACAUCGAUUACUUAUUCAGACCUUCACACCAUGUGAAAAAGCCCCUUCUCAAGGGAAGAUCAACUAGGGAUAACUCCUCCAUGAUGUUAGAGAAUUGUCUCAUGGAUUGGGAGAUUUUAUCACAAUUCUUUCUUUCCUUUGGGAAUCUGACCGGAUUAAAAUCAACCCUAAUACACCAAGGAUCUUUCUAUAGCUCUUUAAUGGCCCCCAGCUCCUCCUAGAAAUCUUCAAGAUCUCUCCAGCCCUAGGCCAUAAAUCUCAAAAAAUACUUAAGUGAAACUGUCCUCACAACAUCUGAAUCGACAAGAGACUAAAUAAGAGCCUAUCUCCAUCUUAAGCAUCUCUAAGACUCUAUUCUUUGAGAAAACCACUGCCCCUUCAGUUGCUCCCAUUGCCUCUAGGGCACCCUACUCGGGGAAUCUGCCCACCCUUAAGCUUCUGACCUAAGCUAAUGACAUAGCCUUUGUUUCCUGUACGCACAUCAAGUCUACAUUACGAGAAUGAAUCAUAGAUUUAAUAAACUUCCUCUUCUCCUUACUGUUAACCCUUCUGACAUUUCAAGAUAUGAUCCUUAGCUUCAUAGAGAAACCAUUGAUAAAUCCCAACCCCUCUUGUCUACCCUUUUUAACCUCCUCACUGAAGACUCAGUUCACAGAGCAUUCCAAUUUUUUCAACUCCCUUUCUCUACGUGAUAAAUUAUAGCCUUGUGACCUUUUAUACAGAUUGAAGCUUUCAUUUUUUGUCUAGUUUCCACUUUUAUCAGCAAAGCUGAAAUCUCCUUCUCAGAAACAUUGAUCAGCUUCCUUGAAAACUUACUGAAGGCUGCAAAUUUUUCAACAACCUGAGUGGGCUUCCUUCUGCGAAUCUAAAGCCCCUUCUAUUGAAAUGCUAGAAUUGUGAGAUAUUAAAGAGAUUGCAACCAAGGAUGAAGAAUCGUUUCUCAUCACAUUUUCCAAGAACUCUAUUAACCUUCCAUCUUUCAUAAUCAUUCUCAAAGGCUUUUCUCCAUCCAUCAACCCACCCUUAAACCUGCUGCUUCAUUUCGACGACUUGUUCCGCCAUAACAACAGAAUGAGCCAACAGCAAAAGAGAAGGAGAGGAAGCACUUAACCCUAUAAGAAAAGAGAUAGGAUAGGACUCACUUAGGUUGAGGGCUUCAACAAGAGUGGACACUGCAACACGGAGGAAGUUUGGGAUUAUUUGAUAUUUCAAUUUUUCUAGUUCUUAUUGGUUAAGUAUUGAAAACCUGUUUUUAUGGAGACUGCAUAAUCAGGUGGAAGUUCAGAAUCCUAUCUGGGCAGUUAUGCUUGGUAGAAACCGUGUUCAUGUGGUUUCAAUUAUUUCCAUAGAAGUAAGGUGUUAUGGGAGACUUUUUACACUAGCUUUCUGAUAGGUCUUGUUAACCAAACACAAGUUCAGCAAUCGAGGCCCGAUUUAUGUUUGGCUAGCUGAAACUUCUAAUUUGCCAAAGUCCAAUCUUCCUCUAAGGAUCCAUAGAUAAAUUGGCACCUAGGAAACUUGAGUUCCCAAACUCAGCGAAAAUGUUUCUUGUCUACAUGUACAGGGGGCAGUCUCUAUUGGAAUCAUAAGUUCAUAAACCGUGACUUUAUCAUCUAUCUGUUUUCUCUUUCCUAUCUGACAAACUAGUGCAUAAUAUGAAGAAACAUUAGUUGACAUCUAUUCUGUUAUGGGCAUUUCUCCCUCUCUCCUAAUUCAAUAAAUUUAUGUUCGUCUAUGAAUGCAGCUGCAUAAGCCAGCGAUGGCUGAAGAUUUGAGGGUUGCAUCUCUUGCCCUGGAGCAAGAGUUGUGUACAUCAGAAAAGUGAGGAGCAUAAUCUUCCACAUUUCCAGUGUACUUUCCAUGCCUAAGUAACUGUUUUUGUAAUCAUAGUGUAGUCAAAUUUGAAAUUGUAUUAAUACUUUUCAUUUGAGCUUCAAACCUGAAAAGGGAUUCUUAAUUAUCAUACAAUGUGAAGUUCAUUCCAGUAGUGGUGUAUAGUGUGACUAUGUCAUGUUAUCAUUAACAUGUUAUCGUGAUUGCGAGAAUUUCUUUUGUGACAUGUUAUCAUUAAAUUUUUCCUUCUAGAUCUCUUAGGUGGGAGCUGUCAGAUGAUGGAUUCUGAUUUUCUGCUUUUAAGUUCACCUAACCGAUAUCAGAGUGCUUCAAGAUCUAAAAUCUCAUUCUGGAUUCAAAAUGUUUUCAUGAAAAGAAUGAAUUAAACCUAUUUAUCCACACUUUCAAUAAUAACAACCUAGAAUCCUAGAUAGCUUAUAUAGAAUCCAUCUUGUAUUACCUUCUCAAGACAAGAUUUUAGAUGGCAGAGACAGUUCUUUCAGGCAGUGAUCAGUGCUUGUAAGCCAUUAGUACAUGGGCUAAACUUGAUGGGCUUCCACUAUGAUUGGCUCUUUUAAGGUGCAGACUAAUCUUGAAAUCUUGACUUUCCAUCUCAUGCAUUGAAGGUUAGGAACAAGCAUCCAAUUGUAUUCGUGCCCCAGUAAAACCUGAAAGGUAUGCCUUCAAUCCUUGCAAUCUAUCUCAUACAUGAUAUUUUGUGAAAGGAACAAGCAUGAAUUGUAUUGUUAUCCCUAUAAAACAUGAAAGGCGUGUUUUGCUCCAGAACCCUCUUCUACUAGUAAUGCUCUUGUAAUUAAGACCUGAAUAAGAUUACUUAGCCAGAAUCUUUGGCCGACUUUGGUCCAUUCAACUCAACAAUGUUGGUGACAAUGAAUAGGGUAUUGAUUAAGUUUUUCAGGUCAUAGUUCUAGAGAACGCAUGAUAGUGAGUGUGUCACCCUUCAGGAUUAGCUUGAUUAUUUUAACAUUUAAUAUUGCUUAAUUUCAUGUUUGCUUUUCAGAGGAAUACAUGAACAGAUUUUGCAAGGCUCUGAACAUAGAUACCUGCAGUUUGUUUCAAGAGACUGCAACAUUGAGUUAAAGGCAUGAAACAGGUUGAUAUUCGAAUGGCACCCCUGGAAUUAGGAAAACUCUUAACUCUUGUAAUGAAUCCAUUGAGUGCCACAUUUUAAUAUCUGAACUUGUGAAAUAUUAGGUUUUAGAAUAAAUUCAAUGCUGAUGCCAUAGGAUUGCCCUAAGCAUCUGAUGUUUAUACCUUGUCUAGGCAUGAAGGAUUUAGUGUGUGAACCAGCGGAGAUUUUGAAAAAAUUGAAGAGCACCAACAAGGUAAAAACAUGCCUUUGAGGCUAGGCUCAAGUGGUAAAGGGACAUAAAGUGUUUCGGGGAGGUUCCAAGUUCAAUUCCCAAUGGGAACCAAAAAUUUACCUAUAAAAAAAAAGGUAAAAACAUUUGAAUAUACUUGGUGGAAUUUCUGUAGCCAUGAACAUUUAUGUCUUGUCUAGCCAUGAUUCUGCAGUUUCUGUAUUUAUCUUCUUUCAACUUCUUUAAUUCAUAAACUUGUGGAUAUAAUAUUUCUUAUAGUGAUUUUUUUUCCCAUUAAACAACUGAAGAAAAAUAUGUGACCAUGAAAAAUGAAAGGAAUCUAAAACGCUGGAGAUUUGGCUAAAAACGAUGGGAAGAAUCGAAUGUUGAAAAGCUCUGCAGCCCACAGGGUGGUUUCACAUUAGAGGAAAACCUUUAUUCUUCCCUUGCGAAUCAAGAAUCUAUCAAGUACAUAUCGGCUCAGAAUUAUCCCUUAGCAACUUUCCAUGAUAAUAUGGAAUAUUUGUUUGAAAGUCGUCAUGUAAAAAGGAUUGGUGGAGAUUUUUACCUGUUUCAAUGUUUUUUUUCAUGCCGUGAACCUUGUCAAGCAUAUUAAUUAUACGUCUUGAAAUCAUUGAAAACAGGGUGUGUCUCAAUUCUCAAAUGAAGUUAAAGAGAAAAUCCUGAAAAAUUAGACAUAAAGUGUAUUCAUUUAACAAAACAUGGAUCAAAAUGAGAAAGUAGUUUGAUGGGUGGGUUUCUUUUUGGAGUUGUCAAUAACAAGGAAGGAACAACAGAUAAUUUCAUAAUUGAUGUGUGAAAACUCUUUAAAGAAAAGCUAAUUUAAAAAUAAAGUAACGUUAAGAAGUUUAAAAACAUUUGGUAUGGAAAAAGGAUAGAUGCUUUUACGUGAUAGAGCGGAAGACCAAUUUAUCGUGGCUUGCCUUUUAUAACAAUUCUGCCAAUAUUCUCUUUUACAAAGUGGGGCUUAGACAUGGCUCAGACCCAUCCAUGCAUCAAAGAAAAGUCAAUAGCAUUUAGUUUUGAUUCUUUGGUAUUUAUGCGUUCUGGUUUCUCCUCUUUUUCUUUUCUUUUCUUGUGGAAUGCAACUGGGUUUUUAUUCCUCAAGAUGGGCAGUCAUGAACCCAAAAAAAUUGUCUUCCCUUUUAGCCUUUGGAGAUGCUAUAUAUAUAUAUAUACACACAUAUGUAUAGAAGACCCAAAUCAUAACCAAAUAACAUCAUUCCAUCGGUUAACAAACUCCAUUUUUUGCUUCCUCGAUGUCUUCGACAACUCCUCAUCACGAUGCAGAAGAACCCCCCCAGUUGCAGGUAGUAUAUUUGUUUUCCCAGGUUUCUCAAAGUUCAUCUCUCUCUCUCUUAUGCUUUACCAUCCUGUUCUCUCACUUGUACAGUCGAAGGAUGGCAAGUUGAUGGCUACGUUUAAUCCCAGACAGCUGAACGUUAUCUGGGGCAGAGACCCCCGCUACUGGAAGAUGCCAGAAAAGUGAGGGUCCUUUUGUCUAUUCUUUGAGUUAUUUUUAUUUCUGAUUAGGGUCGAACUAUGGUUUUGAAAAGAAAGUAUGUUAGUGUCACUAAUUUAAGGACCACUAUAGGCUGAGACUCAGAAAGAAGCAAUAAGACUCUGUGGGUUAGGUUGAUGCUCAUCUUUUGAAAUUGAUUGGUGGGGUAGGUAAGAGGGAGGAGGGUUAUAUGAUUAUAUCUUACCCCCUAGGGCUUACCCACUAUUCUUUCCUUUUAGCUCCUCAAAAGGGUUUCUCUGCUUGAAUAAUAUCAGUUUUGGAGUGGAAGCCCUGAUCCAAAGUUGACUUGUGAAUUCAAAAGUCCAAAACUGGAUUGUUUUUUUUUUUUUUUUUUUGUGAAAAAGGGACUUUGUGGGUUUUCCUACUUUUCCCAACAGAUAUCAGUUAAUCGUAGAAUUUGCAAGAGAUAUGGCAAGUCACACAACCUAAACAUCUACCCACCAUUUGCAGGAACAGCGGCGGUCCUGCAGAACUAUUGCAGGUAUGCUGGCUUGAAGUGAGCGGCAGUGUCCCCAUACGCAGCGCACCAAUUGGAACCAAGUUCAAAAUUACCUUCCAAGUAUCCUUCAAAUCCGAUGCAUUUGGAUGGAAUAACUGUCCCGUUUAUGUGAUGGCUAAGUUUGGGAAGAAAGGAAAGUACACGUGGACGAAAAUAUCGCUGCGUACUGACAAUUCACAGCCAACCAAUAUCCUCCCACCUGACGGCCUGGAGAUUGUAACCAAAGAGGCUACAACCGCAAAUGUAAAUGAUACCAUUUACUUUGGCCUAUAUGAAGUAUGGAGUGGGAAGUGGAAGGGAGGAUUAGAACUUCAUAAUGCCAUGGUUGAACAAAUCAAUAAUAAAUAGUAAUGCGCGGCAGUGCCCAGAAAACAUUAAUAUGUGUUUGUGUGUGGGUCUGUGUGCAGCUUGCAGCUUGCACAUUCAAGAGUAUGGCUUAUAUCAUAGGUAUUAAGGAUGCUGAAUAAAAGGGUAAAAAUGCUGCUACUCAUUCGAAUUCUCAUUUGCUGAAAUCAUUGCCACCACAACCAGUUUUUCUUAUAUGUGGCUUCUUCUAGGAAUGAUUUCAUCUUUUGGGUAUUUGGACUGCAGAGCACUUUUCAUAAAUAAAAGUAUAAAACAAGUUGCUGGUUACUCUCUGCCUCUGGAAUAUUGUUGUAUUAUGUAUUAUGUAUUAAAUCAUUAAGCUAAUAAAGUUUACUUUCUUAGGUUUCCAUAUCAUACUUCACUUUGCUUUUGCCUCUUCUUUCCUUCAAAAUUUAUUAACUGCUCAAUACAGAUCCGAAUUCCUCCUCUGUCUCUUAGGUCUUGUUUGAGAUAGCUUCUUGCUUCUCUGGUUAAAAGCAGUACACUGAGGCCAAUGUCACAAAUUUUAAAAUACAAUAUUAAAAUUGUAAAAGUUUUAUUAAUCAUGAAACAACUUCUUAUCACAAUGAUAUUUAAGUUGUGAAAAUAGAGUCUGUUAAACUUACAAAGAAAAUAAUAAUAAUAAUAAAGCCCCUUUGGCUUCUAAGAGAUCGAUCCAAAAAAUGCCUACUUGAAGAAGAAAUAAAAAGGGAUCUAAGAAGAAAUAAAAAUUGUAGCCAUGAUUCUAUAGAUUUUGAUCCAUUAAUAUUUAGUUUGAGUGUUUUAGAAUUUUGGUCAAUUAAUUUAGUUAAUCACAUGUUAUUGUUUUCGUGUUUUAAGUUUAGUAAUUUUAUUUUUGAUCUAUUAAUAUUUAGUUUGAGCUUUUUGGAAGCUAAUCAACAUAGUUAAUUACAUAUUAUUGUUUUCAUAUUUUCAAGUUUGUUAAACUUUGGUUUUUGAUUCAUCAUAUUUUGUCAUAGUGUUAAUUUACUUUAAUUGAUCCCAUGCUAUUAUCUCUAUAUGUUAAGAUUGUUAAUUUUGAUUCUUCAUUGGUUUUUUUUUUUUAUCUUAAUUCAUGCGCUUCUUGAAUUCUAGAUGUUAGCUUUGGAUAAUAUUUUGUUAGCUUGUUUGAUUUGGAAGUCAUUAGUUUGCUGCCUUAGUAAUUGUUAGUCCAAUCUCCUUUUUUUAGAGGCUAUUGGAAAAUCAUGAAAAUUGACCUCUACCCUCACCAUUAUCAUUUUUGUUGAUUACUAAAAAAAUUUACUUUGUGAUUUCGUUUUCUUUUGUUUCGUUUAGAAUUUUGUUUCUUAAGUUCCGUUGUUUUUUAAAUUAAUUUCUUUUAUUCUAAAGCAAAACAUUUUUCUCAAAAGAUCCCCUUGAAAAUCUAUUUAAAAAAAAAUUCAUUUAGAGUCCAUAGAAUUAAAAUCUCAUUUUUUUUAAAUAAUAUGCAACCAUCUCUUGAUUGGUUUGCAUAUUUCUCGGUUUUCAAUGAAAGUUAUGGUUUUGAGUAAGACACAAAUCCAGGCUUGUGGUUCCAAACAGAUGAGAUAAUUCUAGGCUAGAUUUGUGUAUAUUAAUUGGGGAAUUGGUGAAACCCCUACAUAAGAAAAUCUUUUCAAAAGUCAUCUUUGCUGCCACCUUUGCUACUUAUUGUGUUCAUAUUUACAUAUUUUUUUAGGGAUUGUAUAUAAGAUGUACGUGAUAAUUGAUGAUUUUGUAUACUUUGAUCAUUUUUGCUAUGAUAAUUAAAUAACAUGUUAGGAUUUCUGUAUUUUAUUAUUUAUUAUCUAACCUCUCAUGUCUUGCGGAAGCACAUUACAAAUUAUCUAUACUAUCUAGGUACGCCCUCUAUCACCCACUUUCUAAAUUCUGUGAAUAUGCUUGUCAUUGUGAAUUGCACUUAUGUUUGAUAAUGCUUGGAUGUCUUGAUAUUUGUUACAAUGUUCGAUCAUUUAUGAUAAAAUACAUGCUGGGUGAAAUACUAUUCAAACUAACCAUUAAUGUUCUGUGAUAGUGUUUGAGAAGCAUAUCAGGUACAUACCUUAAAUCUUCUUUAUGAUUGUGAUUGGUUUUUUUGUUAGGUAUGCUUUUUUUGAAAUCACCUAUCCUACUUAGAUAUCUAUAAUUAACCAAUUAGUUGUCACAUAUCUCUCGACUUAGUCACUAGAGAACUUUAUAGGGCUUAGAGGGGUGCUACCUCCUAGAGGUACUUUCCCAAUAAGUAACCUGAUCCCCAAACCUAGACUCGGGUUUUUCAAAGACACGUUUUUCCAAAAACUAUGAAGUCAUUUUUUAGGGUUUUAUUUCUUAUUUUAUUUUCCCUUUAAAAUAAAAUAAAAUAAGCGGCGACUCCGACUUUUCCAAAACUGAAAUUUUUCACCAAAAUAAAAGUUUAUACCUUGUCUAGGCAUGAAGGAUUUAGUGUGGGAACCAGCGGAGAUUUUGAACAAAUUGAAGAGCACGAACAAGGUAAAAACAUUUGAAUAUACUUGAUGGAAUUUCUGUAGCCAUGAUUCUGCAGAUUUUGUGUUUAUCUUCUUUCUAUUUGUUUAAUUCAUAAGCUUGUGGUUAUAAUAUUUCUUAUAGUGAUUUUUUUUUUCCCAUUAAAAAACUGAAGAAAAAUAUGUGACCAUGAAAAAUGAAAGGAAUCUUUGGGCUAAAAACAAUGGAAAGAAUCGAAUGUUGAAAAGCUGUGCAGCCCACAGGGUGGUUUAUUCUUCCCUUGCGAAUCAAGAAUCUAUCGCCUCAGAAUUAUCCCUUAGCAACUUUCCAUGAUGAUUUCAUGGAAUAUUUGUUUGAAAGUGUUCAUGUAAAAAGGAUUGGUGGAGAUUUUUUCCUGUUUCAAUUUCUUUCUUUUUCAUGCCGUGAACCUUAUCAGGCAUAUUUGAUUAUACAUCUUGAAAUCAUUGAAAAUAGGGUGUGUCUCAAUUCUCAAAUGAAGUCUGAAAAAUUAUAGACAUAAAGUGUAUUCAUUUAACAAAACAUGGAUGGGUUUCUUUUUGAAGUUGUCAAUAACAACAGAUAUAAUUUCAUAAUUGAUAUGUGAAAACUCUUUAAAGAAGGCUAAUUUAACGUUAACAAGUUUAAAAACAUUUGGUAGGGAAAAAGGAUGAAUGCUUUUACGUGAUAGAGCUCGUGGGUCGCCUCUUUUACUAAGUGGGGCUUAGACAUGGCUCAGACCCAUCCAUGCGAUAGCAUUUAGUUUUGAUUCUCUGGUUUCUCCUCUUUUUUCUUUUCUUUUGGAAUGCAACUGGAUUUUUAUUCCUCAAGAUGGGCAGUCAUGCAACUGGAUUUUUAUUCCCUUUUAGCCUUUGGAUAUGCUAUGUAUAAAUACACAUAUGUAUAGAAGACCCAAAUCAUAACCAAAUAACAUCAUUCCAUUGGCUUCAAGUUAACAAACUCCAUUUUGUGCUUCCUCGAUGUCUUCGACAACUACUAAUCACGAUGCAGAAGAACCCCCCCCAGUUGCAGGUAGUAUAUUUGUUUUCCCAGGCUUCUUAAAGUUCAUCUCUCUCUCUCAUGCGUUGCCAUCCUGCUCUCACUUGUACAGAGGAAGGAUGGCAAGAUGAAGGCUACGUUUAAUCCCAGACAGCUGAACGUUAGCUGGGGCAGAGACAGCCGCUACUGGAAGAUGCCAGGAAAGUGAGGGUCCUUUUGUCUAUUCUUUGAGUUAUUUUUAUUUCUGAUUAGGGUCGAACUAUGGUUUUGAAAACAAAGUAUGCUAGUGUCACUAAUUUAAGGACCACUAUAGGCUGAGACUCAGAAAGAAGCAAUAAGACUCUGUGGGUUUUAGACAUCGCUGCUUGUGUCUGGUUGAUGCUCAUUUUUGUAAUUGAUUGUUGGGGUAGGUAAGAGGGAGGAUUAUUUGAUUAUAUCUUACCCCCUAGGGCUUACCCACUUUUCUUUCCUUUUAGCUCCUCCAAAGGGUUUCUCUGCUUGAAUAAUAUCAGUUUUGGAGUCGAAGCCCUGAUCCAAAGUUGACUUGUGAAUUCAAAGUCUAAAACUGGAUUAUUAUUAUUAUUUUUUUUAAAAAAUAGGGCUUUGUGGGUUUUCCUAAUAUUUCCAACAGAUAUCAGUAUAAUCGUAGAAUUUGCAGGUGAUGUGGCAAGUCAACAUAAUCUAAACGUCUACCCACCAUUUGCAGGGGCAGCAACCGUCCUGCAGAACUAUUGCGGGUAUGCUGGCUUGAAGUGAGCGGUAGUGUCCCCAUAGGCAGCGUACCACCUGGAACCAAGUACAGAAUUACCUUCCAAAUAUCCUUGAAAUCCGAUGCAUUUGGAUGGAAUGACUGUCCCGUUUAUGUGAUGGCUAAGUUUGGGAAGGAAGGAAAGAACAGUUGGAAGAAAAUAUCGCUGCAAGCUCACUAUUCAGAGCCAACCAGUAUCCCCUCAACUGAGGGCCUAGAGAUUGAAACCGAAGAUGCAAAUGAUACCAUUUACUUUGGCCUAUAUGAUAUAUGGACUGGGCACUGGAAGGGAGGAUUACAACUUCAUAAUGCCACGGUUGAACAAAUCAAUAAUAUACGGUAAUGGGCGGCAGUACCCAGAAAACAUUAAUAUGUGUUUGUGCGUGUCUGUGUGCAGCUUGCACAUUCAAGAGUAUGGCUUAUAUCAUAGGUAUUAAGGAUGCUGCUACUCAUUCGAAUUCUCAUUUGCUGAAAUCAUUCCCAUCACAACCAGUUUUUCUCUUAUGUGUCUUCUUCUAGGAAUGAUUUCAUCUUUUGGGUAUUUCGAUUGCAGAGCACUUUUCAUAAAUAAAACAAGUUGCUGUUACUCUCUACCUCUGGAAUAUUGUUGUAUUAUGUAUUAUGUAUUAAAUCAUUAAGCUAAUAAAGUUUACUUUCUUGGGUUUCUAUACCGUACUUCACUUUGCUUUUGCCUCUUCUUUUCUUCAAAAUUUAUUAACUGCUCAACGCAGAUCCGAAUUCCUCCUCUGUCUCUUAGGUCUUGUUUGAGAUAG